UGGCAUACAUUCUCCUACAUUCCCAGCAGGAUGAUGGACCCAACUGAGUCCAUUAUCUAGCUCUUGACAUCUUCGGUUUCUUACGGAGGGUGACCACCAUGAUGAUCAUCAUGGCCGUGAUCGCCGUGAUCGCCGUAGCCGUGAUCGCCGUGAUCGCCGUAGCCGUGAUUGCCGUGAUCCUUUUCAUAGCCACCUUCAUACCCCUUUCCACCGUGGCCGUGUUCACCAUAUCCUUGGCCGUAGUUAGCCUCUUUCACGCUCUCCUCUGAAAUAUAAACGCAGAGUAUGUGAUCAUAUCCGAGUCCACUAACAGAUAACAUGUAAUGUAACUUACUUUGUAUGAAUACGUAGAGUAGUAAGUUAAAAUGCAACUAUUGAAACUGAUACCGUUUUGUUGACCUCUUUAUGAUGUACGUCACAUUCUGAUAUUCUACAACAUACCUUUCUCAAAAUUCAUAAAUUAAUUAAUCUACCGUGAACAACGGAAGCUAACAAGACAUUGACGGAACCCUCGUAAUCAAGUUUGCAAUUCGUUUCGUCUAUCGCCUCGAUAAAAACAUUUCUACAAAUAAUUGUGUAUAUUGGCUUUCUCUAUUUAUUUAUACUUGCCUUUACCAAAAAAAAAAACAUUUCUACAAAUAAUUUUCCAUGAUUAUUUGUCUGUCUGCCUUUAACAAACACGAGUGCUUGCACGACGGACAAUCACACGGAAACAUAUAUACGUCAAAAGUGAGAAUGCGUUUCCCAUCAAACUGAAGAGAGCUAGAUAAGUAAAUUGAGGGAAGACUUCAUUGUCGAGAGCACUCACGUGACUGAGUCUCCUCAGCAAGGUCAUAAGCCGAGACCUGCGCGGCCAUGAGAAGGAGAACGGCCAGAAGCAGGCCGCACAGGAGGAAAACCCUGGAGGAAGCCAUUUUCAUCGCUCAAGGCUAGCGGAUCACCAGAGAAAUCUCAAGGAAGACUACCCAAGUGAGUGCGUGGCUCAACUGCGAACUGGGGCGCCCUAUUUAUAGGGUGGGAAGUGGGAGUACAGACGAGGGGGUAUGAGCUGUAGCGGGACCCACACGAUUUGUACGGUUGUGAUUUGCUUAAAUCCAGAGGAGAUGCGGCCCAAAGGCUUCCCGUCCAAGAGUCAAAGAUAAGAUUGAGGGUGCGUUUGGAUGGGUACCGGAUGGGCUACUCAGGCCCCAAAGCCCUUUUACCCCAAAUUGAGAUGUUUAGCGAUCAUUCUCCAAGGGCUUUCAAGUGAAAGUCGACCCUUGGGAAUGGCCUCAUUUAAUGAAAAUGGUAAGUUGUCUAUUUUGCCCUUAAAACAUUAUGAAAAAACCACUUUUGCCCAUUUUAAAAACCAAAAGAAUCCUAAAUCUUGUUUCUCUUCCCACCCUUCCAUUGCUCUGCACCCUCCGCUCUCUCCCUCGUGACGACCGCUUCUUGCUCGACUAUCGCUCGAUUGCGCUUUUCCUUUGCUCAUUGAGUUCGUCUCUCCUCUCUCCCCCUCGCUCCUGAAACCCAGUGUUCCCAGUGAGGAAGGGGGGAGUCGGUGGUCUUGGACUGCGGCCGGUGGAGGAGCUCCUGCGGGUACUACAAAUCCCCGAGUGGGUCCAGCGUUUCUCACGGUCUGUACGAUUUCUCCUUCGUUUCUUGUGGUUUCCCUCCUCUCCCCUGUUGUUGAGUGCGGUUUUUUGCCCGGGCUUCGGUGGCUUGAGACUGGAGAUGCCAUGCUUCGGGUUUGCCUGUUUCCGGCUUUAGCCGUUUGUCGUGACGUUCACGGUUGCUGGAAUUGCUGAUUCGCGUUUAGUCUCUAGUUCCAAUCUGAUGCUUCAUUGCGUGCGUCGGUUUGCGCUAACGAUUUUUUCCCAUUUCGGGUUGUUUGUUUUUUAACUCGCUGCUCAUCAUGUGUUCGUUGAAAUGGCCGAACCAAGUUAGCGUAUAGUUUCAUUCCGUUUCUGGGUUUAUUGUUUGCUUGGAGUUUUAUGUUUCAAUGCCAAGUGAGAGCUAUUAUACUAGAGCAAAGAUCACGUUUGCCAAUCACUCGUGAAAUGUACGAGUUGUAGGCACUGCAACAGUGUUUUGUCUCUUCAUGUAAUUGAUGGAUUUAGGUUGAAUUCUACUGAAAUGUAUUAGCAUUUGGACAUUGACCCGUGGGGGUCCUUGAGGAGAUUUCCUAUGUGGUAGCUCUCUUAGCAUUUAGGGGAAGUUAAGUCGUACUUGUUAAGGUUGUAUUAAGGUGUACAUGUUUAAUUCAAUUCUGAACGCAAGAAGAAAAGAACUUCCGAGUCUGUAGAUGAGUAGGAUGGUCUAUGGGAGGUGUCCGUGGGAAAUAUACUGAAUUGUAGAGUUUAUAAAAGUACUUAUCAGGUCUGGUGUUGCGAUCAUCAGCAAUGUGAAAGUUAAUUUUUUUUUCCUGGUUGUUGUGAGACAGUUGAACGGGGACUGUGGAGCUUAGAAAACUGGGCAUAGAGCACCAACUUUGGGAAGCGUCUCGCAAAGAAAUUGGCAAUGCCUCUUCUCUCUCGGCAGGCAACCACAACCAUGGAACAGACUCAGAUAUCUCUCAUGAGUAAUGUCAUGGGUACUUAUGAUCCACUCGUCAAUUAGUUUUUCAUUUGUUGUUGAUUUAUAGUUCUUUCGAGUUCAGCUUUCUUUUGUUUAUAUUGCUUCGCCACAUGAAGUGCCAUUCUUAUGUAACUGCAAGAUAUUCGAAAUUUUGUAAUGUCUAGAGCUGUGAGAACUGUACAAUACCGACAGAGAAUUCACUGUGAGAUGUGAAAGCUUUCUUUGGAGGCUGUUGGGUUCUGCAUCGUUGAUUUAAAUAAAAGUAUUUUGUCCUUCAUUAUUGCAUAUAUGGUUGAACUUGUAAAAGUGAAGAGCUUGAGGAGGGUCUUCCCGGAUCUCAUUAUCAGACUAGCCUUGUCUGUGGUAGUUAGUGCGCAUUGGCAGUACUCUCUGCUUUUCUCACUUGCAGAGGGAGCUUGGCUUGCUAAUAUCGAAUUUAGCUUUCUGAGUUACGAUAGGGUGACCCACCAUUUAAGAAUCCGACUUUUGUGAGAAGGUUAUAUCAUUACGUAGCCCCCCCCUCCCCAUAGUAGUCAUCAUCCUACCUUUUGUAUCGAGGCAUGAAAAACUAAUAUCGAAUUUAGCUUUCUGAGUUACGAUAGGGUGACCCACCAUUUAAGAAUCCGACUUUUGUGAGAAAGGUUAUAUCAUUACGUAGCUAUUACAAUAUCUGGAAUCUCACAAUGUAACAGCAACAUGAGCAAGUGGAGGAAAGCAAUUCACGUUAGGCUGGUUAACACCAAAGAAAGAACGCACUUUAAGAAAGCUGGCUUAUUAAACUCGAUGGACGACAUGAACUAUUAUCAUCCCUAAGCAGUGCAUUUGAAUUUGCAUAACACAGACAAAAACUAUGCUAAGUAUUCAUAUACAAAGCAAGUGAAAAUUGUGAUAGCACCAAUGAUUUUGCACAAUUAUAUAUGAAGAAAUGCCUUGAAUGAUGCACAUUUUACUAGAGUGGAUUUGGAUCCCGAUUUAUAUACAACGGAUUCUGAUGAUAUAAGUGAGGAGGGUAAUACUUCAAAUGAUAAUGUAACAUCUGAUAUCGCACGUUUAUAUGAUCAAAUAACUAUGAAUUUAGGAAAUAAUUAAUGAUAUUUGUAAUUUUUAAGGAUAAUGUCAUUCUUUCCUCAAAGCAUAUGUUAUCAUGUUUUUAUUGUAAUGAAAGUAUUCUUCUUGUAAUUGAGAAAAAGAGCACGUAAAUUUUUUCCAUUUGAUUUUUUUUAGCAAAAAAAGAAAUUUUAAUUUUAAUAAAAUUAUUUACACAACAUCUUUAACAUUGUUGUCAAAUAUAAAUUUAAAAAGUUACAAACAUUUUUUUAAUUUUAAAAAAAUAAAAAUAUUUAGAUUAAUCACCAAAGGGGCUUUACAAGUGUGCUUUCUACCAAAUAACAUUUCUUUCAAAGUUGAUUUUCAAAGCAAAAUUUACCAAACAAUUUUUGCAUUUCCUCCAAAGCCCUUUAGGCUAAACUGCUUUGCAUUUUCUCAAUGAGCUUUCCAAAUGCCAAACCAAACGCACCCAUUGAUUAAGUGCCGUGGCGAGUGGAAGCUAACGAUUCGUCACACAAGUUCUUCGAGGUCAGUAAUGUCUGGAUCUCUUGCUACGAGGCAUUAGUCACAAUCUAGGGGGGGGGGGGGGGGGGAAUUCAACGAUGCGGCACAUGGAGUCAUUAUAUAUUCUGUGCCCUCUCUAUUGCACCCCAACUGCUCACGCUUGACUGAUUCCGAUAGCUUCUUUUCCUGCCAAAAUAUAAUGGAGGGCUUGUGAAAGGUCGAAAAGAACAUUAACAAAAGUUUGAUGGAGUCACGAACUAAUUGAACACGCAACAUCACUAAAUAUCGUAGCGAUAAGAUGUUACCCAUUUUCACUUGAAUUAUCAACAUGGUAGUGGAUUGAAAUAUUAUAUUCAAGGCCGGUUCGUCUGUGUAUCUUUGUGCAUGCUGUAUCUCACAUUAAUUGCGCUUUGAGCGGUUAGGUAUGGAAGGCAUAAAGAGAACCAAAUGCCUACGUCCUUCCUCACGUCACCCGUUGUCCUACAAGGGACGGGCUUUGCACCAACACGUUGGAUCCUCAAUCUACCUCAACCACAAGUACCGGUUGCAGACGUUCGUCUUAUUUUUCCAUGCACUGCACGAUUCUCUCUCUCACUAGAUAUCACAUCGCCGACACAAAAGUUUGAAUAAAUGAAUAGAGAUUUAUGAGAGAGCUGGACCUAUGUUCAAUCUACCUCAACCACAAGUACCGGUUGCAGACGUUCGUCUUAUUUUUCCAUGCACUGCACGACUCUCUCUCUCUCUCACUAGAUAUUAAAUUGCCGACACAAAGUUUGAAUAAUUGAAUAGAGAUUUUUGAGAGCUGGACCUACGUUGAAUCCACAAGACAAAAGAAUAUGAGUGCCCAUUCAAUUUUUUAAAGUGAAUGAUUGAUUUUGUCCAUCAUGUUAUAAUGAUAUGAAAUCUAUAUUAUUGGCAUUUCAUUUGUGAAUAACGAUAUCGUGGUCCCAUGAUUUUGCCUCCAUCCAUAUGUUACCAUUGAUGGAUGUCCCUAAAUAGAUGUAGCUUACAUAUCUGAUGUGGUUCGGUCUCUAAGUGGGACUUUGCAUCUCGAGAAAAGACUUUACCUCCAAAAAUUUCCACCUAAUGAAAAUAUUGUUUGGUAAUCAAUGUAAAAUAUACUUUUAAAAGCAACUUUGGACUGACAAGCCCUAUCUUCUCUCCCAAACCCCAACCCCCUUAAAUUCAUUACAACCGUUGCCACCACUUACCGGCGGCCACACCACCAUCCAGACCAGACCGAGACCUCCCCUUGUCCACUGAGAAAAUAUUGUAUGGUCUCGGAACGCCAGGUCACCGUGCACCCCAACCAAUGAGAAAGUGACGCGUGGCUCCACGUGAGCACGAGCGGCCCCACUGAUUUUUCUGCACAAAAUAUAUUAUUUUCCCUUUUCUAUUUAAAAAUUUACUGUCAUCAUAGACUUGUUGCUGCUUUUUUCUCUCUUUAUCUUUUUUUGGAGUAGGCCUGCACGCAUUAAUGGCGCUUUCUCUCUCCUCCUUUCUGAAGAACCAAUGGCCUUACGCUACAGCUUCCCUUCCCUCCUUUCUUUUCUUCUCAAUUCAAAAUUUUGGGUGAGAAUUCACUCUCUACGUUGCGUUGCUUCUCCGGCUUGUUCCGGGGUUGGGUCAUCUUUGCUCUCUGGCCCAAAGCACGUUGCUCCUCCGCCUUGCUCCGACGCUCACUCAUCUUCGCUCUCUGCCCCAAAGCUUGUUGCUUCUUCGGCCUACGUCAUUGUGUUCUUUCUCCGCCUUGCUCCGGUGUGGUUUCCAAGCGCAAGAUGGUGAGGAAUGUUCUUGCUGUAAGUCGCAGACUCCAAGCGACAAGAAGUUGCAGCUCUCUCCGAUUUGGCUUCGGAUUUGCUACGUUCGUGGCUCGUAACGGUGAGUGUUUUUUUUUUUUAAUUUAUUUUGGUUGGUAUAACAGUGAGUUGAUUUGGCGAAUGCUUGCUGUAACCGGCUGCACAAGCUGCUGGUGAAGAAGAUGGAGGGUUGGACCGGCAUGUGUAGCGACAAAGGUGGAGAGAGCGAGUGGAGGAAGGUGAUGGAGGCGUCGUGCGGAAAGAUGGACGAGGAGGUUGGAGGGAAUGGGGGGGACGCGUCGAUGAGGAUGGCAAGGUCGACGGUGGUGGUGGCAGUGGUGGGUAAGGAGGUGGCGAUUUGAAACUUCCAAUACGAUUCAAUCGUUUCAGGCGAUCGAAUUUCUAUCAUUUCAUUUCAUCCAAAUGAGAUCAUAAAUGAGGAGAGUUAUGGCUUUCGGCAUUUUGUAAGUUUGACAAUAAAGAGUGCCUGAGUGAUAUGGUUCCUGAUCAGUUUUUUUUUUUUAAGUGACAAAUGCACUAGACGUAUUAAAAUUUAUCAUGAAAAUAUAAUAAAGUCUUAAAAUUUCUAAGAUUUAAUGGAGUUUUAAAAUUUAUCACAAAAAUAUAAUCAAGUCUUAAAAUUUCAAAGUUUUAAUCGAGUCCUAAAAUUUCAAAGCUUUGUAAGUUGUCUAAUUAACGGAAUGGAAAGCAUAUUAAAUUUGGAGGAUGAGCAUAGUAAUUGAAGAACGCCACCGCCUGUACGCGCUUCAUAAUUGACCGACUUGGUGGGCAUACGGUUUGUUGAGCACGAUGUUGAGGAGGUUUCGCUGGAUAGAUCUUAAGGAAGGAAUUCCGCAUGAACAUGAUAGGAUCAAACUUGUCCUGAUCUUACACUUGGUUUUCGCUUAAGGAUUCUCUCGUAUAAUGUCAUGAGUCGUAACGGCUAGAGUUAUAUGCGGUGAAAUUGACGAGGUUUAUACAAUUUUUUUGGCACGUUGAGAUUCAUUUGGUAACGUUUCUGUUUCGAAAAAUAAUUUUUUUUUUCAAAAAUAAUCCUUUUCAAUUUCUAUUCAUCGGAAUAAUUUUUUUUUUUUUAUAAAAAAAGACGUUUAGUAACUAUACAAAAUUUCUAUUAUCAAAAUAGUAAAAGAAUAGGAAUAUAUUCGGUACAAUUGACAAAAUUUAUUAUAAUGUAGAAUUUCUUUUCCUUGGGAUUCAUUUAGUAAAGCUUCUAUUUCGGGAAAUAAUUUCUUUUCAAAAAUAGUCGUUUUUAUUUCUAUUCCCCUAAAUAACUUCUCAAUAAAAGAACGCGUUUAGUAACUAUACAAAAUAUCUAUUAUCGGAAUGGUAAAAUAAUAUGAAUAUAUUUGGUACAAUUCACAAAAUUUAUUAUAAUGUAUAAUUUCUUUUAAUUUUUUCCUUAUUCUUCCUUACGGCCAUUGCCGAUGACCACCAAUGACGCCGCCUGCCACUCGUCACCAUCGGUCGCCGUGGAUCUGUAGUCAACCGCGGUUGUUGGUGGUAGUGAACAACGGGUAGCGGCAAUCGGUGGCGGCAGGUGAUGUCGUUGGUGGUCAUCCAUGGUGGGGGUGGUCGGCGGCAGCGACAUCGACAAUCAUUGGCGGCGACAACGUUUGGCAACGACAACAGUAGGUCAACAAUGGUGGGCAACGAUGGUUGGUUAGCGGUAGGUGACAAACGAUAGAGGGGGGUGGUAGUCGAUAAAGAAGAAAAGAAAAUAAGAAAAUAACUUAUUUCUAUAAAUUAUUUUCGAGAAUAAGAAAUUACUUUUUUCUACUUCUUGUUUUUAUUCCAAAUCUAUUCCUCAACCACUUUUCUAUUUCAGGGAUCAAAAAAAUUAAUGACGUUACGAAACGGAUUUUUAUUUUUUUUUGUUCUGAGGAACAGAAGAAUAGAAAUUAUGAAAAUAGAAACGUUCCCAAAUAGGGUCUUGAUGGUUAGAUGGGAUAAGAACAAACGAUAAUAUGCCAAUUUGCCGACUAGAAAAUGAUAUAUUGUAUCUUGCAGCAAUGUGCUCCAUCACUAAUUGUAAAAAAGAAAAUUAUCAAAACAAUUCUAAACUUAUUGCAAUUUUUUUAAUUUAAUCAUAAUUUUUUUUUGUCAAUUCAAUUUUAAAUAUUUUGCAUUUGUGCUAAUUCAAUCUAUCCUAUAAAUUUUGGUAAACGGGUGCUAAUAUGGAUGCUAGUCAACAAUGGCUAUUUAGUCAACGCUGAUAUGUCAAUUUUUAAUAUAUAUAUAUAUAUAUAUAUAUAUUUUUUUUUUUUUUCUCUCUAUUUUUUUUCUCUUUUCUUCUUCUGUUGGCUAGUAGCUAGAGGUUAGGGCUAGUGAGGUCGACCUCACGAUGCUAGCCAAGGUCUCGCCUAGCCAAAUUUGGGCAAUCUCAACCUUGCCUAGCGAUAACGAGACUAGCCUUUACCUUUUGCCCUUGUUGUUGUGGUGCUGGCUAAGGUCUUGCCCAACUAGAUUUGGGUGAGGACGAGCCUCACCAUGGUUGGGCAAGCUCGACCAGCCCUCACCCUUGCCGACAUGGAGCUUGCCAAGCCAUAUUUGAGCGAACUAAACCUUGCCCUCGCCACCCCCUAGUCCAACCAAUGAGAUUGACUUUGCUGGCCUUAGUCUUUGGAUAGGUGAGAAGAAGGAUAAAAGAGAAAAUGAAAAAUUAAAUAAACUAAAAAAUUGAAACGAUUGAGGACAUAAAUAUUAAAUUUUUUAAAAUUGAAUUAAUAAAGGAAUGAUUAGGGUCAAACCGGAAAAAAUGCAAUAAAAAACUUGAUGAUGACUUGAGUAGAAAAUGUGAUGAAGUCAGCAACAUGCCUUUUCGGAAUUGGCGUGCCGUUGUUAGUCAAUAUGGCGAAGUCCUUUUUUUUUUUUUAAGUUUCUUUGGUCAAUAAAGACAGCUUCUUCACGCUGGCCAAAGAGGAAUUUGUGGUGACUAAGGGCGCGUUUGGUAAUAAUUUUAUUCCCAAGAACAGAUUGUGAUAUGGAAUGAUUAUUUUUUAUUUUGUUCCCGAGAACAAUUUCUAGGCAUUUUAAACUGCUUGGUAACUAUUCAAAAUUUCUAAUUCUGGAAUAGAAUUGCGUUUAGUAUCGUACUCAUUAAUUCUGUUCCAAAUCAAUUUCUUUUAAUUUUUAAAUAAUUUUUUUUACUUUUUACUUUUUUACUUUUUUUCCUUUUUCUCAUAUUCUUCUUCUUCUUAUGGCCGAUCGCCGAACCCGGCGAUCGGCCAGACGAGGGCCGGCGACCUCACCGGACCGUCACCAGCCCUCGUCGACCGAGCCUUGCCAAUAGUUGGGCAAGGCUCACCCAGCCCUGCCGAGGCUUGGCCUCGCUGGUGGCUAGGCGAGCCCCGCCUGGCCACCGGCUCACCUGGCCACCGGUGAGGCUUGCCCAAGCUCGGCCACUAGCGGGGCUGGGCGUUGCGAGGCAAGCCUCGCCGGGGCCAAGCGGGCCUCGCCCAGCCACUGACGAGCUCGCCGGACCGAUUCCGGCGACCGGCAGCAGCGUACGGUGGGGGACGGCGGUGAACGGUGGCGGUGGGAUGGCGGUCGAUGGCGGUGGGACGGCAGUCGAUGAAGAAGAAGAAAAGAGAAGAAGAGAAAAUAUCAGAAUAAAAAGAGUUGGUUUUGAUUCUUUGAUUUGUUUCCGGAACAAAAAUCAACUUUUUUUUUUAUUCUUGAUUCUGUGCCAAAUCUACAUUCGGGAACAAAAAAUUUACCAAACGCGAUUAUGUUCCAAAACUACUCCCGAAAACAAAAAAAUCAGAAUCGGGUACUAUUUGGAUGAUUACCAAACAACCCCUAAGUAGUUUAAUAUUGUGCAACAAGCAUCUUUGAUGCGCCACCAUCAUAGCUCAACUUUAGUUCUUGUUCUGAUUUGACUGUCUGACUCACAUGAUUUAUGCCCGGACAUAACCGUGGGAUUAAUUUAUACCAAGGCCAGUCGAAUGUUAUACCACGUUUGGCGCAAUGAAAUAGAACGGGAAAAAAUAAAACAUAGUUGAGGAAGGAAUGGAAUAGAAGAAGCAUUAUAAUUCUUGUAGUUGCUUGUUACGAUGGAAUAAGGUAAAAGGAAUUUGUCGAUUCCUUUUUUUGGGUUGAAAAAAAUUGAAAUGGAAGGAAAUGGUAUCGAAAUGUCUAAAUAAUCUCAAAAAUGUAUAUAUGAGGAAGAAAAUAAGGGAAGCGCUCAAAGUAAUUAUUGUGAUGAUGUUAUUAUUAUCAAGGUCAUUUUCAUGGGUGGAGCCUUGAAGUGGGCAUUUUUCCUCUUAUUUGGUGGAAUGCUCAUGUUAUGCAAGGAGGUUAUGCUCAGGGUCAAAGGGGUUAGCUUGCGAUAUACGAAACAACAAUAGACAGCAAAUAAAAAUGACAUAUCAAGAAAACAGUUGCCAAUAAAUGAGCAAUAUAGAUCGGCCUUAGUAGCAGGAUUGUUCGUAAGUACUUAUGGAUAGAGAAAGUAGCAGUAGGACGGAUGAUCACUUAUGUCAUCUAAACUUAGAAUUUUCCAGUCUUGGUUAGCUGUCAACACAUUCAAUUAUGUCUCCUCUCUCCUUCAAUUGGGUUGAGUUGCAUAUAAAGUUUACUCUUAUUUUAUGAUAAUAACAAUUCAUGUUUUGAAGUUAAUUACUAUAUGGCUUUCUUAAUACUAUUGUUAUGAAUAUGCAUUCUAAAUCUUUCAGAAGAAAUAAUAGGGGAAAUGUAAUUACGCUUGAAAUAAAUAUUCAUAUUGGAAUAAUUUUGUUCUAUCGAACACAAUCUCAUUUGAACAACAUGAGACAAAACACAAAUUGUAGAAAGACAAAUCCGAAUACAAUAUAACACGGUACACAAUUUCAUAUAUUAAUAAGAAUUAAUGUAUAUAAUAAUUUUUCAUCCUAAUUCAAUUAUUCAAUAUUGGUGGAGGAAAUUAUGAGAAUUGCUUCCAAUUAUUGAAUGCCAAUAUUUUCUCACCAGUUAGGCCCAACCGUACCACUUUCCCUUCACGUGGCUAGUACUUCUAGUUCUUAAUGAAAAGACGCAAACCAAGAACGGAUUUGCCUAUUCAUCCCGCAUAGACAGACAUCAUCAAGUCUUUUAUGGUCGAAAGACAUCAUCAAGUUAAGACGCACGAUACCUUAAGGAAAGAGACGGGGAGCGCCUAGCAGAAGAGAGAUAGGGAAAAUGGAAGAGGAAGCAGGGAACUUCAUCAACGUGUGGCUCACGGUCCUCUCGUGCGUGUGCUACUACUACUUCGUCUCCUCUAGCCUCCUGCCGGGCAAGCUCCGGCUCUUCUCUCUCCCCCAUCUCUCCCUAUAGCUGUGCUCCCCUCGGCUCUCCACUGUCCUCCCACCGGCAUCACCUCUUCUUCAUCACCUAGCUCGCCUCCUUCAAGCUCCUCCUCUUCUCUUUCGGCAAGGGCCCCCUCUCCUCCAGUCUCGAUUCCCAUCCCGACCCAUCAAAGUCCCUCUUCCUCUUCAUACUCUUCACAUGCUUCCCUAUCAAAAUCAAGCAAGCGCAAGACUACCCUGUUGGAUGCAAAUCGCGCAAUCCCAAGAUCUCCAUAACCAUAACAAGAACAUGCAUAAUUGAGUAAAAAGAUUAAUGUACCUAUUUUGGGAUCCAUCGUUCUUGAAGCGAAAGUGGAAACACAAUAUUCCACGUGUAAGUCAUUCUCCUCUAUUGCCCUCCAUAUCACUGGCUCAAUGAGGCGGUCCCCUCACAUUUAGCGUUAGAUAAACACUCCUUAGGUGAUGAUACAUAUGAGAAUUAGGGUUAGAUGAGAGACUUGAGCACUAUUUAUAGAGUUUCCAGCCAUGCCCCCUCAUUAUAGGCCAGGCUCAACUCGGCCCACACUAGCCAACCCCAUAUUAGACUAAUUAAGAAACAUUUUAUCUCACCUUAUACCAACCAUGUUUUACGGUAACCGUAAAAACAGUAAAUUAUAAUAUCAAUUAAUGUAGUCCACAUUAGGAGAACUCUCACAUUCUCCCACUUGGACUAUAUUAAUUGAAAUCAUACUGUAUAUGUGUACAUUUGGUCCAGAGAUAAUUCUUAAUAGUCAAUCAUAUCCCAUAAAGUCUUAAACACUGAAUCAUUGCGGCAAUUGCAUGUAUACACACAAAGCCUUCCAUGGUCACGAGUGCUCUCUGAUAUAGCUAGUAUAAGUACCUAGAGGGGGGGUGAAUAGGUAUAACAAGUAAUUUCUAAUGAUUAUCGCACAAUACUAGACAGUUGAUAGAAAUGAGACAACUUUUCCUCGUCAACAAACAAACAACGAUCAAAGUAAGAUUGAGAGUAGGGAAGAGAAAAUUGAACACGCGGUUUAUAGUGGUUCGGCUUAUUUCAAGCCUACGUCCACUCUUCUGCACUGACAGCCCACUGGCUGGAUUCCACUAUGAACAAAGAGAUAUUACAGUACUGUUCUUCCUUGAUUUCUUGGUGUAGAAGAUCUACCACACUCUCUCAAGGUAUCACAAAGUAUAAACUCUCUUUGUGUGUACAGUUUUGCUCAAUAUGAAUCGACUAAUAAUCAAAGAGUUUCAGACUCUGGAAUUUCUCUAUCGAGCACACACUAGAAUAACUGAAACGUCUUCUUUUUAUACUCAUUUAUGCCAUCAUACCCGUUGGCACUUACCAAAGGAAUUCUUCCAAUCUUCCCGUUGGACAGAAUCAAUUAAGAAGGUCAUUCGAGCUAUUUAAGGAACAUGUCGAUAGCCCAUCAAUCAUGUUCGCCCAUACAAUCAGGAUCUUGGUUUCCAAGAAUAGAACCUUCCAAGAAUAUUUCGUCAAUCAUCGGAUCUUCAAACGAUCUUGAUUUCGAAUAAAUAAUCCGAUGUAUCAAAUCCAGCCAAGAGAUCUUCUCCAGACGAUAAGACCAAAUCCUUAACCAAACACUUUAGCUCUGGAUCGUCUUCGUCACUGGAUUAGAAACUGUCAAUGAGAAUAGUCUUGAGUCUUGAGUCUUGUGUGCUGAGUUUGGUGAUUUGAAAGUCUUCAGACUCAAAGUACAAGGGUCUGCACAGCUUCCAGACUGGACUGAUAGAAACGUUUUGUCAGCUUCAAAACACUCUAGAGAGAUUUCUCCAACAAUCUCCCCUUUUUUGAUGGUGACAAAACUUUCCUGUAGAUUUGAACAACUUUGACCUGCAAAAGCAUUUACUCAAGCAGUAUGGAUAUCUCAUAAAGAUUAAUAACUCAACUAGACUCUGCAUCCACAGAAAAUAGGUUAGUCUUUCAUGAGUAAAGACAUACAAUAACACUUGAUAUAAAUAAUGCAACAGUCAAUUUCAAAUCCACAUACUCAAGUCAGUCAAAUUCACCAAGUCCACCACACCCAAGUCAUACUCAAAAAUAAAUAUCCAAACAAACUGAAAUUAAAGAUAGAUAAAAUCAAAGUUAUCAAAGUUCAGUUCAAAGCUGGCAAUUCUCCCCCUUUUUGUCAUCAUUAAAAAGAUGAGAAAGAGUCAAGUCUGCUUGGGAAUGCGCACAAUCUGGAAAUCUCCCAUCGACUGUACGACGCCUUCCAGCCUCUUCAAGUCUUCCCUUAGACGAGUCACCUCUACUUCUUUGGCAUUUACUUGAAUUUGACGAGCGAGGUCUUGCAUUUGAUCCGACAGGGUAGCAGAAGACGCUUGUCCAGCAUUCUUCAUGACUUGAAAUUCACAUUCCAAAGCAUAUAUUUGACCCUGCAUUUCCAGAAGAAGAUCAAGGAUACGACGAAAAUCUAUGGUAUUGUCCAUCUGUGUGCUGGCAUUUGCUCUAUCAGAUGGAGUAAAGGAAGACGAUGGAACUUCGGUGUAAUUGCGCAAAUUUGGCGUUGAGGUGUCAUGUCCUUCCUCAGGCAUUUGAGAAGUCUGAAUAUCUUCUGAAUUUGCUUGCGAGCGACUCACACCUUCACUGUGAUCAGGAAAUGGUGUAGUCCUUCUUUGCUCGUCAUCUCCCCCUGUUUCUAAGGCCUCCAUUAGGGAAGAGUGAUGGUCAUGCUCAGUAGAAUCUUGAUUGUCUUUUUCUCCAGCUUCAUCUACAGACUUUUCUUUGACUGCUUCUUCUUCUUCUUCUUCAACUUCUUUCUCCUCUUCUUCUUUUUCUUUCUCUUCUUUCUCCUCUGCUUCUCUCUGUUCUUGCUCCUCUUCUUCUUUUCUUUUCUCCUGUCGUUCCAUUGAUUCGAAUACAGAAUGACUGAGUCUUUUCAAUGCCAAGGCAGAGAUAGUGAGUUCAUCCUCUUCAUCUUCAUCCUCUAAGAUUAGAGCUCUUUUCUUUUUGGAUGGAGCACCCAUGGGCUCCUUCCCUUUCCUUUUAGACGCAGAAGAGAUUGGAUGAGAUUUAACUGGAGUUUUCACUUUAAACUUCUCCAUUGCCUUAUCAAGCUCUUUCAAACGCAUUUUUUUCAGCAUUUUCAAACCCACCACCAUUUUGUCACAUGGUCGAACACAAAGAGUCUGUGGAGGUUCAAUGUUCAAGUGUCUGAAGAUUUUAGUCACAAGACAUGAGUAAGGCAACUAGCCCUUAUCCUUCACCAUUGCUCUGUAAUUGUGGAAGAGAAUGGUGUGAGGAAGAGAGAACUUCUUCCCUGAAUUGAUCGCGUACAUCAAUUUCGCCUCAGAAUUAGACACGUCUGUCUUGGAUGUUGAUUUUGGCCUGAGACAGUUGAUCACAAUUUUGUGCAGUAAGAUGUUGAUGGCAUGCAUUCUUGCGUAGGUAACUCUUCCUUCUGUACUCUUGUCUUUGACAAGUUCCAGUGUGGUACGAGCGAUUGAAACCUUGAUCGGUUGAUAUCGUCCUCUUUCAACUCCAAUUAUGUUUGCCAACAUGUCCACAUCUACCUCAUAGUCUUGGUCUCGAACACUGAAGGAUAUUCUAUUCGCAUCUAAAAAGCUAAAUUCGAAUAGAAAUAUGCUGUCAAUUGUGCAUAGCCGUCUGUGGUGUCAGAGCAAAAUUGCUCUAGUUGAAACAGAUUGAACUUCUCCUUUAAGUUCACAUUGAUGGCAUCCAGAAAAUCAAAAUCAACGCUCCUGGGGUUUAUUACCCCCCGUUUCAACAAUUUGAAGAACAGAUCCUCCUGUUCCUUUGAUUUGAACAACUCCGUUCUUUUUCCCAUUACUUUCGCAGCAACACCCAUCCUGGGUUGGAAUUCUCUAAACAGUUUAUCAUCGUCAUUCCCGUCAGUCGGAUUAAAUCCUUCUACACGAGGGUCACUUGGAAUGUUCGCAAGUGCUUCCUCAGCCUUUCCUUUAGAAGCAAUUCCCAAAUCCUCCAUCCGUCGCAAAAAGAUAUACUCAUUUUUAUACCCUUUGUCUUUAAGGAAGGCAUCCACAUAGUUCAGUGGUGUACCUAUGCUUUUCAAGGCACGAUAGAGCUUGUAAAUAAAAGAGGGUUUUUGAACUCUUACAGGGUCUGCUUCCUUGAUUAUUUCUUCCUGUGAUAGUUGAUCCACACUUUGUGGGGUAGAUAAUGGAGAUUGACGUGGCUGAGAGUGAAUCGGGCUCUGUUGCUGUCUCGGUAACUAUUCUUCCUCGGUGAGAUCGAAAUGGGUAGGACCCUCCCUCAUUCUCUGUGGUCCCCUGCUUGUGAUUCUUGAAGACCUUCUAGAAGAAGACAUCGUUUCUUGUCGUUGAAAGAUUCCUUGACUCGCUUUCCCAAGAAAAGAUGACAACUUUCUCGAAGAUGAACACGAAAUCGAGACAGGAUUGGGAGCCUUUUUAGGGUUUUGGAGUUAAGCGAAGAAGACAACUUACUGUAUAUAACCCAGUUAAAAAAGGGAAAACCAAUCGACACAAAGGAAAGUGAACAGUCGUCCUCUUUUUAAAAUCGAUAACUGCCUUUUUAAAUAGAGGUUAUCUUUUUGAAAUGACGAGAAUCCGUUUUUCUCGGAAAUGAAACAUAAAUCAAAUAUAACUGAACAAAUGAUCGUACCUUUUCGAGAUUGAAUAUUAAAACAACUUACAGUCUAUGGCCGUGAAUGAUUGAGUCUGAGAGUCUGAGAGUCUCUAGACUUUGAUUUCCUCAAGCUUCAAAAUGUUGAGUCUAGAACGAAUGAUAUCGAAUUGAUUCUUCUCCAAGGGCUUUGUGAAUAUAUCCGCUAGUUGGCUCUUUGACUUAACAAAUUGAAUCGAGAUUUCUCCAUUUUGAACAUGAUCUCUAAUGAAGUGAUGGCGAAUCUCUAUAUGCUUUGCCCUUGAGUGAAGGAUUGGAUUUUUAGUAAGAUUGAUUGCGCUGGUGCUGUCACAUCUAAUCUCAGUGCAUGAGUCUUCAAUUCCAAAGUCUUGUAGCUGUUGUUUUAUCCACAGAAUUUGCGAACAACAACUUCCAAGAGCUACAUACUCUGCUUCUGUUGUAGAGAGAGCCACAGUGUUUUGUUUCCUUGAAAACCAAGACACUGUCCUGUUCCCAAGCAAUUGGCAAGUUCCCAAGGUGCUCUUUCUAUCAACUCUGCAACCGGCUAGAUCUGCGUCUGAAUAUCCAAGAAGAUUAAAGUCUCCUUUCUUAGGAUACCAAAGACCGAUGCUUGAAGAUGAAGCAACGUAUUUAAUAAUCCGUUUCGCAGCACUGAGAUGAGAUUCUCUAGGGUCUGAUUGAAACCUAGCACAGAUGCACACACUCAACAAAAUGUCAGGUCUAAAGGCAGUAAGAUAAAGAAGUGAACCGAUGAUACUCCUGUAUAGCUUUUGAUCAACUUUCUUCCCUUCUUCAUCUUUGUCUAUCUUCAAGGAACUUGACAUUAGUAUGUCGAUCUUUUUGCACCUUUCCAGUCUAAACCUUUUGAUAAGAUCAUUAGCAUACUUUUCUUGAUGAAUGAAAGUUCCUUCCUUCAAUUGUUUUACUUGAAGUCCAAGAAAGAAGGUUAACUCUCCCAUCAUACUCAUUUCAAACUCAUCCUGCAUAGACUUAGAGAAUUUCUUGCACAGACUUUCAUUAGAGGAUCCAAAAAUAAUAUCAUCCACAUAUAUUUGAACAAGUAAAAAGCUUUUGUUUUCCUUUUUGAUAAAUAGAGUAGUAUCUACUUUACCUUUGACAAAACCAUUCUGUAUUAAAAACUUACUUAGUCUGUCGUACCAUGCUCGAGGUGCUUGCUUUAAACCAUACAAUGCCUUUUUCAGUCUGAAGACUGAGUCUGGUUUCUUUGGGUCUUCAAACCCUGGUGGUUGUUCCACAUAAACUUCCUCAUGGAUAAAUCCAUUUAGGAAUGCACUUUUGACAUCCAUUUGGAAUAACUUGAAAUUUUUAUAAUAAGCAAAAGCAAGCAAUAAUCGAAUAGCUUCUAACCUUGCUACUAGUGCAUAGGUCUCAUCAUAGUCUAUCCCCUCUUCUUGCGAAUAUCCCUUGGCCACGAGUCUUGCUUUAUUUCUUACGACUUUUCCUUUCUCGUUCAUCUUGUUCCUGAAAACCCAUUUAGCUCCAAUAACAGAUUUACCUUUCGGUUUAGGAGUCAAUUCCCAGACAUCAUUGAUAUUGAAUUGCCUGAGCUCUUCUUGCAUAGCUUCAAUCCAGCUUUCAUCUGAUAAAGCUUCUUAUAUGCUUUUGGGUUCUAUUUCGAAAACAAGUGCCACAGCACUAGACUCUUCACGCCUUUUGGAUUUGGUGCAAAUUCCUUCAUUAAUUUCGCCAAUAAUGAGAUCUUUGGGGUGACUGGACUUAUGCUUCCAGUUACUGGUUGAUUUGUCUGAUUGAUGAUCUCUUUCUUUACUUGAAUCUUCACGAACAAUUUGAUGCUGGUCUUCCAGAGUCUGAGAUGCUUCUUGAGUUGUAAGCUUUGGAAAGUCUGGAGCAGGUUCAGACUCUUCAUGUUGAGUCUGACUGGAUUCAUUUUGCAUUGAAUCUUGAAAUUUGACAUUCAUUGAUUCCUCCACUGAUUGACUCUUCUUGUUAUAGACUCUGUAGGCUUUGCUUGAUGUAAAAUAUCCAAGGAAGAUGCCUUCAUCCGAUCUUUCUUCAAACUUACCAACUCGAUCUUUUGCAUUUUUCAAUAUAAAGCAUUUGCAACUGAACACAUGAAAGUACGAAACAAUAGGCUUCUUACCUUUGAAUAACUCAUAAGGGGUUUUCUCUAAAAUAGGUCUUAAAAAGACUCUAUUUAUGAUAUAGCACGCUGUUGAAACAGCUUCAACCCAAAAUUGUGAAGAAAUCUUACUUUCAAUUAAAAGAGUUCUAGCCAUUUCUUGAAGAGAUCUAUUCUUUCUUUCCACAACUCCAUUUUGCUGAGGAGUGUAUGGAGAGGAGAACACAUGCUUGAAGCCAGAUUCAUCACAAAAUUUUGUAAAAUCUUGAUUUUCAAAUUCACCUCCAUGGUCUGUUCUUAUACUUGAAAUAACAUAUCAUUUUUCAUUUUGAACCUUUUUAGCAAAUUUUUCAAAAUACGAGAAGGUUUCAGACUUACUCGCAAGGAAAUAUACCCAAGUAAAUCGGGAGUAAUCGUCCACGAUUACUAGGCAAUAUUUCUUACCUCCAAUGCUCUGGGUUCUGGUUGGUCCGAAGAGAUCCAUAUGCAGCAGCUACAGUACAUGAUUAGUAGAGACAUGAUUUAUUGGCUUAAAUGAAUUUUUUACCUGCUUUCCCAAUAUACAUGGGGUGCAUAGAUCAGACUUUUGGUAUGAUAAAUUGGGUAGACCACGAACAAGCUGCUUUGAUGAGAUUUUGGCUAACUGCUUCAUAUUAAUGUGACCAAGCUUUCUGUGCCACAAGCUUGCUUCGUCUUGAAUUGAAAUUAAGCAUUGCGAUUCAUCCGAUUUCACAUCCAGAAGAUAGAUAUUUCCAUGCCUUCGACCCAUGAAAGACUGAGUAGAGUCUUUACUGGUUCCAGAACAUAUUCCUUCUUGAAAGAAGAUCUUAAAACCAGUAUCACAUAGUUGGCUGAUGCUAAGAAGAUUGUAAUUGAGUCCUUCUACUAGGGAAACAUUACUUAUUGUGAGAUUUCCAAUUUUCACAGUUCCAAAUCCCACAAUCCUUCCUUUGUUGUUUCCUCCGAAUGAGACUUUUCCACCAUUUACUUAAACGAGCUUUAUAAAGCAAUUUGAGUCUCCUGUCAUAUGUCUUGAGCAUCCACUGUCCAGUUACCACUUUACCUUUUCUUUUACGGAGACCUGCAUUUAAAAGAGAGUCUCAAGCUUUCUUUGGUACCCAUAUUUUCUUGGGUCCAUUGGUGUUAGUAAGAUAAACAGUAUUAGCCCAUGUUUUCUUAACAGGUUUCCAAACCAUAGGACACUCUUUUUCAAAGUGAUCUGGGCUAUUGCAUUUUGAACACGUGAGAGCAUUUCGACCUACAGACUUUACGAAAACCUUCUUGAAAUGAUUUUUGUAGGCCAAUCUUGAGGGUCUUUGCUUGAUUCUUUCUUUUACUUUAGAAAAAUCAAUCAAGGGAAUAGUUUCCGCAGUCAUACCUAAGCCAGACUUAUUGAAAUAAGGUCUUUGAGCUGAAAGAAUUUUUUCAAGUUUCUCGGACCCUAUUGAAAAUUUCUUUGAAAUAUUUGAUGAGUCAAUUUUUAAAAGAGCAUUUUCUUUCAAAAGAUUUUCCUCACUUUCUUUAAGAGUAGAAACAUUCAUGUCUAAACAUUUAACUUUUUCCUUCAACACAUUUUCUUGUUGUUUUAGAACAAUAUUUUCCUUUUUAAGUUCGGAAAUCCUUUUAAGAGAAGUCUUAAGGCUAAAACACAGCUCAUCAAUAUACUUAGAAAUCUUGACAGGAAUUUUAAAAUUACUUACCUCAAAUUCACUAUCUGAGUUUGAUUCAGAGUUUGAGUCUAAGUCUGAUUGCGCCAUUAGACACAAAUUGGCAUAUUCAUCAUCACUUUCUUCGCACUCUGUAUCACUCCAGAUUUUGGCUUUGAGAGCCUUUCGAGACUUUUCAGCUUUUCCUUUCUUCUUCUUUAGAAGAGGACAGUUGGGUCUGAUGUGUCCCUUUUUCUUACAUUCAAAGCAAACUAUAUCUUUCUUUGAUUCAUCAUCAUCAACAGACUUGGUCUGUUGUCUUUGAAAACUUUGUUUCUUUGAGUUGAAUCUUCUUCCUUUUCUAUUUAGCUUUCUGAAUCUUCUUAUCAUGAGAGCAAGCUCCUCAUCAUCCAUAUCAUCUUCAGAAUCUGUAACAUUAGAAUCAUCAUUUGAUUUUAAUGCAAUGGAUUUCUUACCUUUUGGAUCUUCGUCUUCGUUAAUUUGUUCCACUUCAUAAGACUGAAGAGUUCCAACCAGCUCAUCGACAGAUAGUGGCAUGAUUCUUUGCGUCUCUCUUAUUGAAGUCUUUAUGUGAUUCCAAUCCUUGGAGAGUCCACACAGUAGCUUGUUUACCUUCAUGGGAUCAGAAAUUGGUUGUCCUUGAUUUUCAAGACCAUUUACAAUUUCUGUAAAACGGCUAAACAUAUCAGUUAUAGAUUCUCUAGGUCUCAUUUUGAAAGCUUCAUAUUGUCCGAGAAGGAUGUUGAUUCUGGUCUCUUUUACUCGAUCAGUUCCUUCAUAGGUAAUAUGUAACCUAUCCCAGACUUCUUUUGCUGUAACACAAGAAGAUAUUCUGUUAUAUUGAGUAGGUAACAAGGCACAAUAUAAAGAAUAUAUAGCUUUUGCAUCAAGAGUUUGUCUCUUGAUUAUCUCUUCCUGAGACAUUCCGCUGGUCUCAACAGAUUCUUUCCCUCUUUCUGAGACGGAUGCAACUUUAGGAGUGAUUCCUUUUUUUCUACAACGUCCCAUUCCAGAGGAUCCUUUGAUCGAAGAAAUGCUUUCAUUUUGUUUUUCCAGAUGUUGUAGUCCUUUCCAUCAAAGUAAGGAGGUCUGGUAUUGCUUUGACCUUCCACCAGCCCUGGAGCUAGCAUACUAGCCAUGGAUCUUUUACUCUGAAGUAAAACACUUCAAAUAAAGUGAGUACACGAGCUCUGAUACCAAUUGAUAUAGCUAGUAUAAGUACCUAGAGGGGGGUGAAUAGGUAUAACGAGUAAUUUCUAAUGAUUAUCGCACAAUACUAGACAGUUGAUAGAAAUGAGACAACUUUUCCCCAUCAACAAACAAACAACGAUCAAAGUAAGAUUGAGAGUAGGGAAGAGAAAAUUGAACACGCGGUUUAUAGUGGUUCGGCUUAUUUCAAGCCUACGUCCACUCUUCUGCACUGACAGCCCACUGGCUGGAUUCCACUAUGAACAAAGAGAUAUUACAGCACUGUUCUUCCUUGAUUUCUUGGUGUAGAAGAUCUACCACACUCUCUCAAGGUAUCACAAAGUAUAAACUCUCUUUGUGUGUACAGUUUUGCUCAAUAUGAAUCGACUAAUAAUCAAGGAGCUUCAGACUCUGGAAUUUCUCUAUCGAGCACACACUAGAAUAACUGGAAUGUCUUCUUUUUAUACUCCUUUAUGCCAUCAUACCCGUUGGCACUUACCAAAGGAAUUCUUCUAAUCUUCCCGUUGGACAAAAUCAAUUAAGAAGGUCAUUUGAGCUAUUUAAGGAACAUGUCGAUAGCCCAUCAAUCCUGUUCGCCCAUACAAUCAGGAUCUUGGUUUCCAAGAAUAGAACCUUCCAAGAAUAUUUCGUCAAUCAUCGGAUCUUCAAACGAUCUUGAUUUCGAAUAAAUAAUCCGAUGUAUCAAAUCCAACCAAGAGAUCUUCUCCAGACGAUAAGCCAAAUCCUUAACCAAACACUUUAGCUCUGGAUCAUCUUCGUCACUGGAUUAGAAACUAUCAAUGAGAAUAGUCUUGAGUCUUGAGUCUUAUGUGCUGAGUCUGGUGAUCUGAAAGUCUUCAGACUCAAAGUACAAGGGUCUGCACAGCUUCCAGACUGGACUGAUAGAAACGUUUUGUCAGCUUCAAAACACUGUAGAGAGAUUUCUCCAACACUCUUAACUUUAUUGAUAUGGAUUCAAUAUGGUAGUGUGUCAAAUGAAUAACAUCUCUCAUAGAGAGAUCCCAUUUGUCAGUCACCAUUCUCUUACCUUAGGCGUCACAAAAAAACUUGUGGCACUAGAGAAUGUUUUUAUAGUUACAAUGAACUCACAUAUGUCUUGUCCUUACGGUUAAUCUUUCUUUAUCUAUCACAAGACAUAUGCACAAGACUAAUAACCGGAUGCCCCUAGUCUUCACUCAAGAUUUAUAUAGUACCUUGAAACUUUAUAAAUACGUAUUCAAUAUAAUAACAACACAUUCAAAAAUAUUUUAUUGAAUGCAAAAGUUGAUACAUAUCAAACCGUUACAAAGUGUAACGAACAUAGAUGAAACAUUUAUCUGAGUAAAGUCAAAAUAACUCCCACUAAACAACAGCAUCUCACGAUGCUCCUAGGCCCAUGCUAAUGACAUGUCGCUCAAAUACACAUGAACGUAGGCCUUUAGUUAGUGGAUCUAUAAUCACAUCAUCUAUAGAAAUAUGUUAUAUUAUAACGUCACAUUUUUGUACCGUUUCUUUAUGAUAAAAAAUUUUGACCGCCAUAUAUUUAGGCCCAUUGAGACCUCUAUAGUAAAUAAAUACUACUGCAAAUUUAUUGUCUCAAUACAACCAUAUGGGUCUAUCCAUAAAGUUAAAAACAGUCAACUCCUUCGUGAGCUUCCGGAGCCUAAUGGCUCAAGUAACAACCUAAAAGAAUGUUACAAACUCUGUUUACAUAGUAGAAGAUGCCAUAGAACUUUAUUUACUGCACUUAUUGUUAACAUAAAUAUGUAUUAUGUUAUUGAUCACAUAUCAUCUUAACAAACGACAAAAUUUACAUAUGAAUACCCUACUAGUUGUAAAAAUUGAACAUGUUUGUAAAUCAGCAUAUAAUCUCUUGUCUUAUUUAAGUACCUUAAAAUCUUCUUGGCAAUCCUGAAUUUAACUUAUACCUACCUAGAAGUCCCAUCGCAAAGACAAUAUUUAGUCUAGUGCAAAUUUGAGCAUACAUUAUACUUUCAAGUGCGUUGACACAAGGUACACCAUUUAACUAGAUUUUCUCAAUAUCUAAAUAAGGAUAAUGUAAUGGAUUCAGUCCACACCCUUAACGAAGGAACAAUUUCUGGCUUGCAAUGAUGUAUAUUAAAUAUUUCCAAAAUACAAUCAACAAAUGUCAUCUGAGAUAAAUAUAAUAAAAUCCAAUAUUUAUAUGGCGAAAACAAUGCUUACGGACCUCAGUAUAAAAGACAAAAGAUGCCUCAAGGUCACUACUUGUAAACAAAAUAUCAUGUAUAUAGAGUAUGAGAAAAAUAAAUUUCAUCCCACUGAUCUUGCAUUAUAUUGAAUUACUUUAUUCCCAAUUAAACAAAAUAACAACAUUAUGAAACUUUUAAUAAUAUUGUCUGGAAACUUUCUUAAGACUAUGAAUAAGACUUUUCAGUCUACACACAAGUUUACUUGAAUCUACUGCAAAAUCUUCCAGUUGCACUAUAUAGAUUUUGCAUCUAUUUGACGUAACUCCAUAUCAAAAAGAGCUAUUAAUGUCACGUUCACUCUGAAAGAAUCUUUAAAAAAUAUUAGAAAAGAAUAAUUAUUUCUUCACUAUUAAUUAUCCAGCCCUCUUUCAGAGUGAAAACAUUAGUUACCAUUUUGGCUUUAAAUUUCAUAAUCUUUCUUUGAAAUCCUUUUAGUUUUGUACGCCAAUUUGCAACUAAUUAACUUGUGAUCUUUAAACAAGUUAGUAAGUUUCCAAACAUUAUGAUGUUCAUAGAUUGUAUAUCAUCUUUUAUGGCAUCUAAUCACAUACUUGAUUGAGGAUAAAAAACAACAUUUAUUUAUGUUGCUAAAUUAACCAUGUAGUGGAUAUUGUAGUCAUGCUCUCACAAAUAGACUAUAUAAUCUAUCGAAAUAACUGAUCAUCUUUUCCUAACAAAUCUCCUGAAUAAAACUACAACCACUUCAUUCUAUACUUGAGAGGUUUAAAAAAAAAUUCAUUAUAAAUUAUAUCAAGAAUAGUACCUUAAACUUCAACAAGUUUAGUCUAUGGUACAUGAGAUUCCAUAAUUGUCUGUACCACAUUAUCUGUAUAGGGUAAAGACAAAGACAUAGUGAUUUUUCNNNNNNNNNNNNNNNNNNNNNNNNNNNNNNNNNNNNNNNNNNNNNNNNNNNNNNNNNNNNNNNNNNNNNNNNNNNNNNNNNNNNNNNNNNNNNNNNNNNNCCUUCUUUAGGGUCAUAAAAUUGAUAUCUAUUUUAACAAUCUGGGUAAGAUACAAAAUAAUUCUGAGUGGAUCUAAAUUCCAAUGCCACGACACCUCUAAAUUUCAUAUGAUUCAAGUAAUUUAUGUUUAGUCUAUAACUCAAAAGAAGUUUAUGAAACAACUUUUGUAUGUGAAAAUGUUGCUUUCAAAAUAUCAACCCAUAGAAGACCGAAGAAAUUAGUCUUACUAAUCAUACUCAUCACCAUGUUCAAUAUGGUGCAUUUAUGCCUUUCGGCCAAAUCUUUUUGUUAGAAUUUUCAAGCAUAGUAAUUAAGUUACCACCCUAGAAUUUACCAAAUAUUUGACAAAUGACCCUUUAAGUUAUUUCGCAUUGUUAUACUUGCCAAAAUACUUACGGCCACUAUUAAGCCUGACAACCUUUUAAGACUAAUUGUAAUUAUUUUAUUCUUUAUCUUGAUAAUUUUACUUCCACAGUAAUCUAUAGAAGUCUAUAGAUAACUGUUAAAAGUAGACAAACUAUCAACAUUGUCAACUUUUCUACUCUUUCUUUAGACAUGUGUGAAAUUAUUCCUUAAAUAGAAAAUUUUCAGAAACAACCUCUUUAACCAUAUACGAGAUGUAUAUGUCAUUAGGACUUAAACAUAAUCUUUGCAAAUGUGUCCUAAAUUCGAUAUUAGACAAGACAUAAUUACAAACCACUAAGGCUUCCAUCAUCUUAUAGCAGUGCAAUUCACAGGCAAACCACAUUUCAAGUUUCCUGAUUGGAACACUUCAUGGACAGUAAGCAAAUUUUAUUACUCUUUUCCCAAGCAGCAAAUCAUAUGUCUACUACUUAAAAUUUGAAGCAAUAAAAAUCUAAAUAAUAACGGAGUUAUUAAUUACAUAAAAUGUGAUUGAAAAAACAAGUAAUGUAUAUAAUUAGCAUCAUGUGAGUACCGUGUAACUUGAUGUACAAAUACACAUCUAGAGAGUUACACGCAUAAUCAUAUAAUCACAUUUGUGCAGAAUACAUGGCAUACAGUUGUACACUCCCCAUAUGAUAGCGAUUAUGAAAAUAUAUUCUAAUCUUUGUGAAUUUAUCACCUUUGGGAGUAUGAACCACAAGUAUGACCAUGCAUUAAAUCAGGAGACAUCUCAAUUAUUAUACGAGACCGAUAUUUCUCAAACCCAAUCAAGCGUGCCACUUUGGCGGUCACUACUCAAUUGAAUCCUUGAAACUCUCUCAUAUCAGGAAUAUAAACUUUACUUCUCAUAUACACCAUAUACAUGUGAUUUUAACUUUAAUGAUACGUGCAGCAUAUCACUGAAAUCCCAUAUGAUGCUAAUUACACUGCCUUAUUCAUUAAUAAAAAUUAAUCAUAUAUAUAUAACCUGAAAGACAGACUCCAAUGAGAUCACCAAUUACAGCAACACAAGAAACUUCUCAUAACAUAGAAGCAAUCAUCUCUUGUGCACCUCGAUUAUAGAUUACCAGAACAAUAUAAAAAGAAUGAUGAUCCAGAGAAUCUAUCAAAAGUUAACAUCAAUAGCAAUAUAGGGUACCACAGAUCGACAAGCCUAACAACUGNNNNNNNNNNNNNNNNNNNNNNNNNNNNNNNNNNNNNNNNNNNNNNNNNNNNNNNNNNNNNNNNNNNNNNNNNNNNNNNNNNNNNNNNNNNNNNNNNNNNAUAAGGCAAAAAAUGAAUCCAAGGCCAACAACUGAUUUAUUAACAAUUUUUUUUAAGUACCAAAUUAUCCAUGUAAUCAACUAGUGUCUAUUAAUUAAGUCAAACCAGAUAACCAAAUAUCUAAACCUUUAACAGUAAAUACUAUUGCUCCGCGUAAAUGUUAUCAUACUCCUAAUCAAUUAAAAUAGUCAAUUUAAUGGACAUUAACAAAUGACCAGAUGAGUUUAGAUACAAUAUGUAAUGACUUAAUUGAUAUACAAUACCCACAUUCAGCAGAUCUGUUAAUUAGUACAAUCAGUUUGGUCACAGGUUCUUAAGACGUCCAUCAUUCAAAGGUUACCAGCAUGUAAAGGAGUAUGCAUGAGUAACCAAAAGUUUCAUAACCUUUUGCCGUUUCUCAUCACUUCAAUACAUAAUUCAAUUACUAUCCCAUAAUGGUUGUAUCUCAUUAAGCCAGCUUCAAUUCACAAUAAAGUUUAAUUUUUAUUAAUGAAUCACACCAUUAUAAUGUUUAUGUGAUAACAUACCUGUAAUCCAACACUUAUAUUUCCAAAAUCACAGAAAAUACAAGAAAAAUACGCAAAAAUACACUAAAAAUACAUAAAAUCAUCAAACAUAUAAAAUAAAUACACCACAAGAUAGAGAAUGAACAUGCGAAUCCAACGCCGCCAGCCAUGCGCUAAUCCGAUGCACCACGGGCCUGCACGCACCACCUAAGUGCAUGGCGCGUGGAGCCCACGAGCGGGCGUAUCUUAACCGGUCAAAACUAGUCCAACCGGUAGCGGUCUGACCGGUUCCCGAUUCGACUGGUUGACCGGGUCGGGUCGGGUCAGGUCAACAAGUUGGGUCGGGUCGGGUUGGCCGCCAAUUGGGUCCGGUCGCUAAUGUCACUAUGGCGUCAGCAUACGUGUGUGUGUCACACGUGCAAGCCGCGCCCCGCACGUGAGGGCGUGUGACCUCGCAUGACCACGCGUGGGGCGCGUCUCCUACACCCUGACGGCGCGUGGCCGCACGUGAGGGCGCGUGCGGAGUCCUCCGGCGAUGCGCCGCCCACGGAUCUGCUCGUCUUGUCGAGCCCAGUCCGAAUUUGUGAUUUAAUUUUAUUUUUAUUGAACAAAAAAUCACGAAAAUCACAAAUUAUGGCAAAAAUUUUAUGCGUUCGAGUUCUAGGAUUAUGGUUGCUCUAAUACCACAUGUUGGAUGCAAAUCACACAAUCCCAAGAUCUCCAUAACCAUAACAAGAACAUGCAUAAUUGAGUAGAAAAGAUUAACGUACCUGUUUUGGGAUUCAUCAUUCUUGAAGUGGAAGCAGAAACACAAUAUUCCAUGCACAAAUCAUUCUCCUCUAUUGCCCUCCGUAUCAUUGGCUCAAUGAGGCGGUCCCCUCACGUUUAGCGUUAGGUAAAUGCUCAUUAGGUCAUGAUACAUGUGAGAAUUAUGGUUAGAAGAAAGACUUGAGCACUAUUUAUAGAAUUUCCAGCCAAGCCCCCUCAUUACGGGCCAGGCUCAACUCGGCCCACACUAGACAGCCUCAUAUUAGACUAAUUAAGAAAUUUUCUAUCUGACCUUAGAUCAACCCUGUGUUUACGGUAACUGUAAAAAAAGUAAAUUAUAAUAUCAAUUAAUGUAGUCCAUAUUAGGAAAUUUUUUACGUAUCCAUCUCUCCAAACCCCCAAAUUGCCCCUCAAUUUGCCCUCAAAACUGCUCCUUUGCAGGAUCUCAAUCCUUGUGUACGAUCACCAGGACAAGCUGCUAUUGCAGGUUGGGCAUGUUUAUUCGGUUUCCUGUGUCGAAUUUGAAUAAGAAUUGAGGUCGAUGUUGAUGUCUAUUCAUGUUACUGCGAGAGUUUGUUUAUUUUCACGGGUUCCUGUUAUUUUCGAAUUAGUUGCAAUUGAUUUCAUUUCAUUCGUGUUGGAAUCGAGGAACUGUGCUUGUAGGGGCACCCGAAGCGGGUCCUGCUUCUCUAUCCGUGCAUGCUUUAUCUCUACGUCGACAUGAUCGUGGGGCUGAGCAACGCCGCCGCGCGCUGUCCUCGGCGUCGAGCUUCAGAUGCCCUCCGACGAGCCCUACCUUUCCAUGUCGUUCCAAGAUUUCUGGGGCCGGAGGUGGAACCUCACCGUGACCAACGCCCUGCGGCACACCGUGUACAAGCCCCUGAAGUCGUUCCUCGAACCGCACUUGUGGGCCGCAUGGGCGACGGCGGCUGCAGUCAUGGCAGCGUUCCUCGCGUCCGGGCUGAUGCACGAGCUGCUGUACUAUGACGUGACACGUGCGAGGCCUACUUGGGAGGUGACGGGGUUCUUCAUGCUGCAAGGGGCGUGCGUGGUGGUGGACGUGGCGGCGAAGGCGGCGGUGGGGGAGAGGUGGAGGCUGAGCAGGGCGGUGUUGACGCCGCUGACGGUGGGGUUCAUGGCGGCGACCGCCAUGUGGCUGUUCUUCCCGCAGCUGAUCAGGAAACGGGGCGGACGCGAGAGCCAUUAAAGAGUGCAAGGCUUUCAUGGAGGGGCUGAGGCCCAAGUUCUGACACGCGGUACAAGGCAUUUGGGGUAUAUUUAAUGUGCACAACGUUGUUCUUACGAAAUCGGUUAAUCACAUUUCAAAAAAUUUCAAAGCUAACAUUGGGUCCUCAAUUACUGGGAAAAAAAAUUGACAUUGGUCUUUAAGAAAACACAAUCUUUAGUCUAUGUAUAUGUUUUUCAUAAUGUAAUUAAUUAUGUCUGACUUUCACNNNNNNNNNNNNNNNNNNNNNNNNNNNNNNNNNNNNNNNNNNNNNNNNNNNNNNNNNNNNNNNNNNNNNNNNNNNNNNNNNNNNNNNNNNNNNNNNNNNNNNNNNNNNNNNNNNNNNNNNNNNNNNNNNNNNNNNNNNNNNNNNNNNNNNNNNNNNNNNNNNNNNNNNNNNNNNNNNNNNNNNNNNNNNNNNNNNNNNNNNNNNNNNNNNNNNNNNNNNNNNNNNNNNNNNNNNNNNNNGAAAUUCCAGCUCUCACUAACAAAAAACUUGCCCUUUGAAGCUCGAUAAAAUUACAUUCCUACUGUCAUGAGUUUUCGGACAACCAUUUUGCUCCAUUUUGUCGGAGAUUGUAUCGUUACUCUUUCAAAUAAUGUUAUACUAGGACCAGUCUACUAUAACAUGAAGACAUCAAGUUCUUAUGCUUAGAAUCGUCGGAUCAUCACAAUUAAAUUUCAGCCAUUGAUCAUUAACGGUUGAGAGUCAUUAUUGGAGAUGCCUCACAGCAUAAUAGCCUAGUUCAUAUAACUAGGUUGUCAAGAAAUUUGUUGAACUAGAAUUUAGGUUCAGAGAAUGUUUAUGCUCCAUGGUAGAUGCUCAUUCCUUUAGAGCGACGCAAAAUUGAAUAAAAAGUGAGGACGUAAUUACAAACAGCUUAAGUUAGGGGACUGCGCAAAUAAAAUCAAAUCUGAGGACUCAAUAGAAAAAAGAGUGCAAGUUGCAACGAUCCACAAGUGGUACUCUUUUGGGGAAAACUCCAUCUCAACUUUAUUCCCGUUAUCGUCCUGCAUAUGUCCCUUUAUACUUCCUCUUUUUUUGUUUUUUUUUAUCAAAUAUUUCCCUCACUUUAGAGUCCUCCAAUUUGCACUUUAAUUUUCGUUAACAGAUUUCGAUUGGGCCAGAAUGCCACUACUCUUUAAAAAGUGCCAAACGUACUUUCUAAGCCCACCUCAAUCUUCUUUUAUUGAGAGAAGGUAACAUACGGCACAGUAUUCAAUGGUUAGGCAGCAUGACAUCAUAAGCUAACUUUAGCAUUAAUUUUUUUUUUCAAAUCCAAUAAAAAUUGAUACUUGUUCUUGACGUGGCACAUAAAUGAAAAAAUCUUUCUCUGGUCGCAACAGUGGGGGAAUCUCUCUUUCUUUGCCCUGUUCUGUUGCAGCAAAUGGACGAGCCGCAACAAAGUGAGUGGCUUGGCCAUGGACGGCAACGACUGCGAGCCACCGCAAUGACGAAGGGAUGGCUCGGCCAUGGAUGUGCGGUAGUGGUCGGCUUGGAUGCAGUGCCGGCGACUCUGCUGGUGACUCUGAUGGAGGGAGUGGCCGUGGAUGGAGAAUGAAGAAGAGACCAAAAAAGAAGGGCUGGUUUUUAAUUCUUUUAUUUGUUUGCCACGUCAUAGACAUGUCAAUUAUUCAUUGGAUUUCAGUACAAAAAUGCAUGCCACAUCAGCUUAUGAUGCGAUUUUAACUAACCACCGAAUAAUUUCUAGCAAUAUAUCAAAAAUUAUAGAAAUAGCUCAGAGUGUGUUUGAUUGGAUUUCUAGGGAAAGUUUUGGGAAAAUGCAAAAGAUUUUAAGUUAAAAAAAUUUUCAAAAAUGAAAAUUAUGUUUGUUAAAUUAUAAUUUAAAAAUCCAUUGUGAAGUACUUUUGAGUAAAAUAGUACUUGGAUAAGGAUUUUAAUUAUUUAAAAAAAGAAAAAAAAAUUGGUCCUUUGCCGACUAAGGGUAGGCCAUCGCCGACUAAGGGCAGGCCAUCGCCGAUAAUCCAGAUCUAUUGUCGAUAACUGUCGUCUAAGGUCGCAAGACCUCAAACAGCCCUUGGAGACCAUUGGCGAGGGCCACUUCGGGUCGAGUGACCCUAGCGCGGGUCAUGUGCUACUAGGGGUCAUGUGACCUACGUAACCCCUUACAACUUCGAAAGUCACUCGAACCCGACGAGGGCUAGCUGGGUCAUGCGACCUUCAUAGCCGUAACAACUUGCAUAACUCGUUACAGCUCGGAAGGUCACUCGAAUCCAACAAGGGCCAGUUGGGUCUUGUGACCUACGUAACCCCUUACAGCUUCAAAGGUCACUCCAACUCGAUGAGGGCUAGCUAGUUCGCGCAACCCUCGCUAGGGGUCACUUGACCCCAACAAGGGCUAGUUGUGUUUCUUAACCCCAAGUAGCCCCUUGCCGAGGUCAUGUGACCACCGAGGGUUGUCUGCCGUCUAGAUCAGGCAACCUCGUCCAGCCUUGUGAGGGUCGUGCAACCUAGAUGAUACUCGCCUACACGGUCGCUUGGGUCGCUGCGACUAGGGGUGAGCAAUUUCAGGUUCCGAUUCGAUUCCGUCUAGAACCUGGAAUCUACCCUCGGGUACAGGUUCCUCAUUUUUUGAAACCUGAAACCUACCUUCGGGUACAAGUUCCUCAUUUUUUGGAACCUGGAAACUACAAUGUACACGCUUUACCAAAAAAAAAAAAAUAUAUAUAUAUAUAUAUAUAACGUACGCACAUACUCUACGAUAACUUCCCACAUCUUAGCAAACAUAGUAUAUACCAAUGCCAACUGCCAAGAAUUUGGACAUACAUAAUCAAAACCAAUAAAAAGUUUCCAAAGAGGAAAGGAGGGGCUUGAUUAACUAUAAUUAUUGUGCCCACGAAUGGACCUAGACUUAGAACCAGGGAAGGAGAGUAAAUUUCCUGUAGGUAUGCAUCCCACAGUGGGCGAACAACUCCCGUUCAAGCCCUUCAGGGACAGCCUUUUAGCAGAAAACCACUCAGCCCUUUAGUUCAGAGCCUAGAGACACUCAGAGAGAUGUCAGGAUGGAAACGUUUCUAACCUACCCAAGCUGCAUUUCUUGGAGGAUCCUACCAAGCUGGAGAAGAAGAGCAAUUUAGAAAGCCAUGGAGAGAUUUUCACAAAGCACACACUUUACUUCAAGGGACUCUGCCCAAAACGAUACACCCUCCUUGCCUUAUAUAGGCAAUAAGAGGUCACUAGGACACACACAGGGACCUUACUCAUGGGUCCAGAUAAAAACAGAGGCACCGGAACUUUCCGGGAGGGAAUUAUUAGCACACUAUGAACAGUAACUGUACUGUGAACAGUACUUUCCCUAGCAUAGUGCUACAGUAAAAAGUGAAUAGUGACUUUGCUACAGUGAAAUUGUACGGACUCAACGGUCUCGUCCGUCACGAGCAUUGUAGCUACAGACUGAGUCAUCUGAGCUGUCUUCUAAGAGAUGUGCCUCGUAUUUUUGUUCAAGGGCUUCAAGGUCUUCAGGUGAGAAGAUUUGAUUCAGCCUUCGUGAUGAGGAUGCUUGUUCAUGAGCCCAAUGUGAUGCUUCUUCUUCAGCCCAGUUUGUAUUUUCAUCUUCUUGAGGGUCGACAGGAAUUCUUGGCUGAGGCCAGUUGGAUGGUUGUGCAUAGAAAGAUAUGUCCAUGCUUUGGAAUUGUUCGUAGGGAUCCUGGGACAGAGGUCCUCCAAAGCGUGCAUAGAGGUCCUGGGUGGAUUGGACAAUGUCAUCUUCGGUUGUCAUUUCAGGCUCUUGGGACGAUGUGGCUUGUCUGUAUUGUUCGAGUGUUUCCUUAGCUUCUGGUGCUAAGUCAUAAUGAUCCCACGUAGUGGGUGCAUUAUUCCAAACAUCUUCGGGAAUAGUCUUGUUUUCUUGGCACAGGAUUCUCUAGAGUUCUCGGUAUUCAUGUUCACAAAGUCUAACAGAUCUUGGAUAAGAUUUGUAAAUCCGGGCUUCUCGGCUGUUCAAGUUAGGUUUAUAGGAUGUGGUUCCUAUUUCUAGUGGUGCAUCGAGAAUACUACCAUUAUUUUUGCAAAAAUUCCAUGGACGUCGAAAAAACAGGAUGAUGUGGACCUCAGGAUUCGGCGUCAUGGAUCUCAGUUCUUUUUCCAAGUCUUGUUUCCAGCAUGUAGGAUGAUAGAACCAAUUUAGAAAAUCUAAAAGAUUUCUAUCACAUUCUUUUUCGAUGUUUCUUCCGAGCAAGAAUAUCCUUGUGAGGUUGGCAAUGAAUCUUCUGGUUGGAAUUUCAAAAGCUAUUAGGUACUUAUUGGUUAAGUACCACAAUAACGUUUUGAGCUAUUCAGGGAAAUCAUCUUCCUUCCAGAUAAGAGGAUGAAUGAAUGGAUAAUCCAUAUUUAACCCAAAAGGAUAAAGAAUCGAACCUCCAUUGAAUCCGAAUAGGUCUGUGUGGCUUUGCCACAUGAGGUUCUCCAGGUUCUCAGCAAGACUGUCGUUCUGGAUUUGCUGAAUAAUCUCCUGGGGGUAUUUCCAGCUUUGCGUAUCUUUGAUCUUCUCAAUUUUGUAUUUCACUCCAUGAUUAAGCAUAUGGAAAGCAGGCCUCUUGAUGUACAUGUUGAUCUCGGCUGGUGCUUUUGGCCUUGAUAAGAAGUCAGCAAGUAUAUUCUUCUUUCCCAGAAUAUGCUUAGUUUCAAGAAGUAUUUUGAUAACCAUUCAGCCCAUCGAAGCAGUUGGGAAUUUGGAAUCUGUUUUUGUUUAACUUGGUCAUCUGAGGGAAANNNNNNNNNNNNNNNNNNNNNNNNNNNNNNNNNNNNNNNNNNNNNNNNNNNNNNNNNNNNNNNNNNNNNNNNNNNNNNNNNNNNNNNNNNNNNNNNNNNNNNNNNNNNNNNNNNNNNNNNNNNNNNNNNNNNNNNNNNNNNNNNNNNNNNNNNNNNNNNNNNNNNNNNNNNNNNNNNNNNNNNNNNNNNNNNNNNNNNNNNNNNNNNNNNNNNNNNNNNNNNNNNNNNNNNNNNNNNNNNNNNNNNNNNNNNNNNNNNNNNNNNNNNNNNNNNNNNNNNNNNNNNNNNNNNNNNNNNNNNNNNNNNNNNNNNNNNNNNNNNNNNNNNNNNNGCAUGGAUUGCAAAGGAAUGAGAAGCUUUGCAAUGUUUGGGACAAAAACCCUGAGAUAAUUAAUUAUCCCAAGAAAUUGCUGAACUUGCUUUGUUGUGAAGUUAUCUUGGGGAAACUUCAAUAAUUCUUAAGCAAUAUGUGGCCCUGGAUAGUAUGUACCUUUGUUAAGGUGCAUACCAAGAAAUUCGAUUUCUGUCUGGGCAAUAUUCAUCUUUCUUUGAGAAAGCAUGAUACCAUGUUUCUUCACGAUUUCUGCAAAUUGCUCAAGGAGUUGACAAUGUGACUGCUCAUCAGGACUGUAGAGCAGAAUGUCGUCAAUGUACACUACUGCACUUGAUAGGAUUGGUUGAAAAAUGCGACACAUGGCCUUUUGGAAAAGAGAUGGUGCUACCUUUAAGCCAAAAGGAAGAACUUUCCACUGGAAGUGCUGGUUCGGGAUACAGAAUCCUGUUUUGGAUCUGUCUUCAGGAUGGAUGCCCAAUUGCCAAAAUCCGGUUUUGAGGUCGAAUUUGGAAUAGAUGUGGGCCUUGGUUAGACCACUAAAGAGAGAAUCUCUCAAUGGUAGAGGGAACUUAUCAUCUUGGAGAAAAAGAUUGAGAGGUUGAUAGUUGAUCACCAAUCUCAUUUUUCCUCUAUUUUGCUCAACGCGCUUAUUGAUAUAAAAGGCUUCACAAGCCCAUUGUGAAUCGGAGAUUUCAAUAAGGCCUUGUUGCAAUAGUUCUGAGCAUUCCCUUUGAGCUAAAACCAAAUGUUCUAGCUUCAUUCCCAUGUGGCUUGCCCUGGUUGGGUUUAUGUCUUCAUUCUUCUUGAAAGGAAGGCGAACAAAGAACUCUAGAUUUUCCCAUAAAGGAUGGGAACACUUUUGAGCGAAUUCUGAAUGGGAUUCUGAACAAGAUUCUAGCAACUUUUGCAUAAUUGGAUCUAGUAAACUCAUCUGGAUGGAAAAGAGUCUCUGAAUAUUAACGAACUCAGAGAAUUGAUCUUUAUAUCUAAGACCUUUUCCAAGAAUGAUGCGAAGCUGAGAGAUUUGAGUCAUAAUGUCCCACCCAAUUAUCAGGUCUUUAUUGGGAAGGUUUGAUCCAAAGAUUUUUGCAGUUAUGGAGCACUACGAGAAGAACUGGAUAGUUACAGGAGUGGUUCUGACAUUUGUGGAGGAAGUAUCUGCUGAAGCAUAAUUGAAAUAUCGGAUAUAAGGAGUCCAGAAUUCUUCAGGAAGAACCUUGGUGUCUAAUAUUGAACAACUUGCUCCUGUCUCAAUGAGAGCAAUAACAGUGAUAGGUUUGGCAAACUUUGAAGUGAGGAUUUUUACAGGGAAAUGGGGACAGUAAGUUUGACUUGAAAAUAUGUCAAGGUUUGGUUCUGAGGAUGAUGCUGAUAUAUGGAAAAUAUCUUCAGACUCUGAGUCUGACUCAGUCUCACUGGAAGUUUGGUAAGAGGGAAUGACACAAAGAGUUUGUUCAGAUGGCUCUUCAUCAACAAAGAAUAAGGAUUCAAUAUCAUCAUUUUCAAGAGAAAUACCUGUUUCGUUCUCAAUGUGAUGAAUUAGGUGAUUCUGGCCUUUUCUCACUUGAGGACAGUUUUUGGCAAAAUGUCCUUUCUGAUUGCAAAUGUAGCAACGGUUUGAUUUUUUGUGGCUUGUGCGAUCCUUCCUUUUGCGUAGGUAUCGCCAUUUCUUCUUUUUCCGGAAAUGCUUGGAUCCAUGUUUGGAUUUCUUUAUCCAAAACUUCUUGUAGUGUUUCUUCUUCCGGGAAUACUUGCCACAAGUACCAUCACAGUCUUUCUUGGAACAUUUGAUUUUUAACUUCUGGCGAGAACAAGUUGAUUCAAGGCGCUUGUCGUCUAUGAUGUAAGUACGGACCAUCUGGCGCUUUAGGCACAAUUCUUCGAGACAUAAAUGAACUUCUUGUUGUAUUGCUCCUAAUGGAACAUCUUGUAUUCUCCUUUGUUUUCCAAAGAAAGAUCUUUCAACCAUCUGGGAUAGUUCUUUAGGGAUGGAAGUAAGGAAAACAUGCUUCAGAUUUGGAUCUGCUCCUACUUGGUAAAAAAGCUGAAGCAUUAUUCGAUAAUGCUUAUCAAGAUGUUUUUCCUGGAGGGAGCAGCAUCUUCUCUCGAAAAACUCUCUUCUUUUUAUCUCUAUGAGAUCAGUGGGUUUUCCCACAAAGACAUGAUAUAAGAGAGUAACGGCAUGGCUGAAAUUAGGUGACAUUAGAAAAUGGAUCUGGUCUUGUUCUGAAAUUGAUUGCCACCAGAGUUUGAGGCUUCCUGUGAACCUUGUAACAAAGUUGUACAGGACGUCAUUCAUAUCAUGGUUAGUGAUAGACUGGGUAUUCAACCAAGUAUGAAAUUCUUCAAGCCUUAUCAGCCAUUUGUGAUAAGGAAUAUCAUCAAUGGUGAAGAAUUGUUUUGAUGCUAUAGACACAUGCUGAGCAGAAUUGCUUGUCCGACCUAUUUCUGGGUCAGAAUAGUUUGAUUCCAUUUCAUCAUCCGGGGGGUCAGCCAUGAAUAUUGAUGAAGUUACUGGUGCAAUGGGGAGGGAAUCAACUAUAGGAAUUGAGAAGGAUGAAGAAGAGGAGAAGGAUACUGAAGAAUCUGAUUCAGUAUCACGAGAAGUUUGCUCUACUAGGAGCAGAAUCUGUUUUUCUGGAAUGACAGGAUCAGGCUGUUGGAUAACAGGGUCAGGUUCCUGAGUGCUUAAAUCUUUUAGAAAAGAUUCUAAUGGAUUUGAUAGCAUCAUCUGAUCUGGCCUUUCUCUGAUAACAAUGGAACUUGAUUCUGUAGGCGGUAUUUUUUCUUUCCCAUUUUCCUUCUGCAGGGCCUUGAGGCGAUUUCGUAUUUCUGCCAUAUCUGGUUCUCUUCUGUAAGGAUCUGCUGGAAUAGUGGCAAAGAUAGACGUUUGUGGCGGUGGGGGUAAAUACCCGAUUUUAACAGGAGGUGCCAAUGGGUCAAACGGUCUGAACCUUCCUUCUUCAAGAAGCUGGAUUUGCCUUUUGAGCUUCUCUAUUUCUGGCUUUGGACUUUCAAGAUAAUGGUACCCAAUAUGUUGUCCUGAUUCUAAGGCGUGAAGCCUUUUCUGGAAUUCAGAAAGUAUCUUUUUGGUACUUUCAUCAUACCUUCGGAGAUCUUGUUGCACAUUUCCAAUUUUGGAAUCAAUUGCCUUGAAGGCAUUAUUAUGUGCCAACAGAGUUUCUGAUUGCCAAUUUAGAACAGCUUCAGCGACAGAGGUUUUUUUCUGUCUCCCAUGUUCAUCCACAUCAGUGGGAGUAGGGAUUUUAGGAACAUGGCGGUAUCUACCAUGGGGAUCAAUAAACUCUUCUACAGCAGGGAACAAGAGUUUAGAACUUUCCUUGACAAGAGGAGGAAAGUCGGUAUCCUGGAACAUAGCGAUAGAAGAAGUGGGUGGUGCUUCUUCUGGGACUUCGAGGGGGUAAGAGUGCUUCUUAGCCCAUUUGAGUAUUGGCUUAUAAAAUGGAGAGAGGGCUUGCUUCUUCUGGGGUGGAGAUGGUGGUGGUGUUUUUGGUGGAUCUGGUAAGGCUUGGGAUGUAGUAUUCACCUCUGGCGGUGGAGGUGGUGCAUAGGAAACCAUGAACUGAUAUUUGUCACACUCGCCGAGAGUAUCAACGGAGGAGUCUCCGUCUAAGUAUCUUUGGUACAUCUUAUCCUUUGGCCUUUUCCUUCGAGGUGGAGAUCUUACGAAGGAUCUACCUCGUCAGGCGAAUUUGUACAAUAGGAACAUUGACAAAAGGGAUCCCAAAAACAAUUACCAUAGUCAUAUUUAUAGUAAUGAAUAGGAUGUCCAUCACCAUCGAAGUGUCGGACAUGCUUUUUUGGAUCUGGCUCGAAAAUAGAUUGAGGAACACAUGGUUCAAUCAUGAAGAGGGUCUGGAAGAUAGAAGGGCUUUCUUCCUUUUCCUUGCCAAAUUUGAUGGAAACAGUUCCAUCUUUCUUGUGUACGAACUCUGAGUCCGUAGACUGGAAAGGCUUGUUGUGCUGAUGUAGCUUUUCGUAGUUGGUAAUCCAAGUCUCUGGAAGGAGCUUGGCCAACGUAUCCUUUGGGAUUUGUCUGGGAACAUGGAUGCAAGACGCUUGAUCAUUCUGCAUGGAGAUAAAUAAUGCAUCUUCAUUACCAUUGUUGAAGUUGAGGUCAAGUGCAUGGUUUUGCACUCGAUAAACCAUCUGGUAAUAUAGUGUUGCAGCUACAGAAUCAGCAGUUUGAGGGGCUCCAGUAAGUUGGACUUGGACUUUCAUAAAGGAAAGUAACUAGGGGUCUGAAAGAGCGAUGUUGAAGUUUAGAUAUAGAGUGACAAAGACUGUUCCAGCAUUCAAAGUAGUUUGAACAGUUCCAAUGCAAGCAUGCUGGUAUUGUAAAAAUUUGGUAUCUAACAACUCGAUUCUUGCCACAAAGUUUAAAUCGUCAAUUUGCCAUAUGCCAUAUGCCUUAUCAGCUAAGUCAAAUGAAAAUGAUUAAGCAAAAUAUACUAAGAAUAUGAAAAACCAGAAGUGCCAACAAGAUGAUGAAGCACAUGAAAAAGAUGAAGCAAAAUAUACUAAGGAGAUGAAAAACCAGUUUUGCAACAAGAUCUCAAAUUUUCAUCUACUCCAUAGUGUGAACUCUACAACCUUUCCCUAUGAUUCCUUUGGCACAGCAAAACCCUAUAAAGACAUGGAUGAAAAUCAGUCAAAAUCCUAAGUAAAGACACAUCCAAAAAUCAAUAUCGAUAAUACUCCAUGAAGCAUGUCAUUUUGCCCAUCUAAAGUCUCCUAAAUUCUUUGACAACAUAGUUCAAAAAUUCAAUAUACAUAAGAAUAGCCUGCAUUAAGAUUACGAUAAACAAAGUUGCUCAUCAAUUAACUUCUGCACAAUUAAAGCAGCAUAAAGCCAACAAAAAACCUUGCUUGACUUCUCAACCGCUUGACCCAUUACAGAUGUGACACCACCAACUCUAAUUAUCGACGAUAAUCUUCGCAUUAAGACCAACCAUAUCUGAAAAAGAAGAAGAAGAAGAAGAAGAAGAAGAAGAAGAGGUUAAAUAAAAUAUUCACUUAUCAGAUUUACAAAAAGAAUUACAAUAUAUAAAGAUAUAAACGUUACUUACCCAACUAAAAUUGUUCUGCGUUCUCAAUACACUCUUCAACAUCAAGCGGUACACGAACGGCUCUCAACCAAUCUUGAGUGCAAAUCAAAGCUUCCACUACUUUGGGAGUUAAAGAACUUUGAAAGCCAUCAAGCACACGACCCGAUGUACUAAAAGUUGACUCUGAAGCAAUGUUAGUUACAAGAAUGGACAAAAUAUCUCGAGCCAUCAAAGAAAUGAUCUUAUAUUUUGAGCCAUUAGUCUUCCACCAAAUCAAAAUGUCAAGACCAAGAUCCUUUUCAUUUUUUCUUGAAGAUACUCAUCAAGCUCGGACUUGUUGUUAUUGCACCCUUGUUCAUUCGAGUAUAAAAACAUUUUCUUCCAAGCUUGGCCGUCAUAUUUCUUUAUUCCUUCAUUACCACCCAUAUCGGUAUUGGAAUUGGAACUACUACUACUUGCACCCAAAUUAUGGUCACCAAAUUCUUGAUCACUUGAAAUAAGAUAAGAUUGUUCAUAAAAUUCAUACAAACGCUCCAAUGCAUCCUUUACCUUGUAAUGCAUCUCUUUAAUUUUCGAUUCAUCAUCAUAAAUUUGUCCAUACAAGAAACUCACAUAAUUUAACUUGGCUCUAGGAUCUAACACAAUCGCAAUCAACACCAUUAUAUUCACUUUAUUCAAGCUUUCAUAAUAUUUGUCAAAUUUUUCUUUCAUUUUCACACCCAUAGCUUGAAGCUUAGGAUACGAAGCAUUGACCGCAUCUUUCAAAUAUCUAUACAAAAGAGUUAUCCCUUCAAAAUAAUCAUUUGAAGUAACAUAUGAAAUCCCAAACAUCUUAUUAGUGGCAUUAUAGAAUACUUUUAGAAAAUCCGAAAGAAUAAUAGUAUUUUCUCAAUCAUCAUCACUAGGAGUUUCAUGAUUAAGCUCACUUACAAAAGAUAGAUCGUGAUCUUCCAUCCUUUCGAAAGCUUUUCUAAACUUUAUGGCGGUGCCUAACAUGAGGUAAGUGGAGUUUCAUCUAGUGGCGACGUCAAGAACUACUGAACCCUUAUAAGUGAAAUUUUCUCUCUCAAUGCAAGAUUGAAAUCAUUGGGCUCUCGUGGGAAAACUCCUUACAUACCUAACCACAUUUCAAAUACGUGCAAUUGAGUCAAAUGCCGUAGUUAAUCCAUCUCUCACAAUCAAAUUUAAUAUAUGAGUUGUACACCUCAUGUGCAAAACACUACCAUCUAAUAUCAACGACCUUUGUUUCGAAAAAUUUUCCCUCAAAUAGCUAAUUGUAACAUCAUUCGAGCUAGCAUUAUCCACGAUAAUUGUGGACACCUUUUUUUUUUUCUAUUUCCCACUCCUCAAUGCAUUUCUCCACCAUUUUCCCAAUCUCCUUACCCCUAUGACUAUUUAUCACCACAAAGUUCAUGAUUCUUUUAUGCAACUUCCAAUUUUCAUUAAUAAAAUGUGCAAUGAGACACAAAUAAUUCAGAUUUUGAUUGGAACUCCAUGUAUCAGUCGUGAGUACGAUCCUAGAAUUAAUCUUUUCAAAAUAAUUCUUCAAAUAAGUUAUUUCACAUAAAAACAACUUCAUGCAAUCUUUUACCACUGUGAAACGUAAUACAUGUUUGAAGAGAGGUUGUAACUCAGUAACAUAUUCACGAAAUCCAACACGCUCAACCAAAGAAAAAAGUUUGCUCAUCAAGGAUGAUGAACUGAGUAAGCAUGUGCCUACAACGUUCUUGAUUAAAUGACCAUAUCGAUAAGACACUACCAAUACUAGAAUCUUUUCCUGCCUUGCCAGCCAUGUUGACAUUACGUGGUACAAAGAAUUUAUGCAUCUUAUCUAUAUUAUGGUGAAACCUCUUGCAUGUGGUCAAGUGCUUCCUCAUUGCAGAAAUACCGUUAGCAACAUGGUACUUAAGCAUGGACCCACAAUGAAUACACUUCACUUGAUAUAUUUUUCCAUCAUUAUCACUGAUUCUCGAAUAAUGAUUCCAACAUUCGGAUGUAUAUUUCUUAUUAUGAGGAAGGUGAGAACUGGGUACCUUAUUUAUGGCACUCGAGGUAGAGGGUGCCUCUUAUUCAAUUUCAUCGCCAGAAAACUCAUAUUUCGUAAUCGGAGUCAUCUCCUCACAUCCCUCCACCUCCAUUGACGUGUUAUCUUGACACAUUAAUUUCGCACUACACAACAAUAAUAGAAUAUAAUUAGACAUUUCAAAACAGAAUAUGUAGGCAGCUACUAAAAACCAAAUCAAUACACAACUUUCCCCUCAAAAAAACGCUCUUAAGUAUUGUAGACAAUUAGCUUUUACUAAAUGAUAAUAAUCUGUGUAUUUUCAUAGAUGAUAACUCGUGCGCAAAUGACACAAGCUAAAAGGAGUCCAAUUUGAUCAUGCAUAUAUCCAUUAUGCGGCACAUUAUUAUCCUUCUCUUAUAUUACCUCUACAAUUAAGGACCAGCAAUCCAGAAAAGCCACCCAAAACAAAGAAGUUAAGCAUCUAGAUUGCCAAAAUUCAAAAACACCGGCUUGCCCAAAACAAAGAAUUGAUCAGAGCAGUUUCAUUGAGCAAGUAGUCAUAGACCACAACUUGCAUUUCUUUUCUUGUUCCAUUAAAUUGUGAAGGCAGUGACAACUUUGUUUUAUGUAGAAGUACCAGCUUUACUUGAGCAGGUUACAGAAGAAAAAUGAAAUGAAAUUUCUAAUGGGGGGAUGAAGCAUUCGGAUCUAAACCCACAAGAUGCUGCCACUGGUAUAAUGAUGCUAUCAGAACUCCAUCAAUUUGAAAUUGUCAACAUAAUGAUAUGGUACAUUAGAACUCCAUCAAUUUCCAGCAAAAUGAUGCUACAAAAUACAAAUGGCAACUCAAAAUUUGCUGCCAACAACUUUCUUAUCCAAAAUUUGAACUCCAAAAACAAUGAAAUUGACACCAGAGGGACUAUAAUCACUAAGCAAUCUAGUCUUAGAAAUUAGGAAUCAAUCACUCACUCCCUCCACUGGAGCAGGAAAUGAAAUUCACAGCAUUUGAUGGUAUUACCCCGAGAUCGUACCCUUGGAGUGAAGUUCCAGAAAUCCAAUUUCACCGGGCGAGCGGCGUCCAGCGCUGAGCAAGGACGUUGGUCACUGGUCUUUGGGGCAACAGCGUCAGGCAUCGUGACUGCUGGCGUCGGAUCAUCAGAGCAAAGGCGGAGACAGCAGUAGCGGCGUCGUGGGUAAGAAUCGGAAACCUAGUGACCAACAGCUACAAUCGGACGGCCUGAGGAUGGAAUCACGGCAGGAACGGUGGCUUCUAGCGUCUGGUUGCAACGGCGGUGGAGCAAAAGACGACCCAACAACAAGGGCAUCGGGGCUUUUAGCACGAGCAAGGACGUCGGUCGCUAGUCUUCGAGGCAACGGCAACAGGCAUCGCGACUGCUGGCAUCGAGUCGUUGGAGCAGAGGCGGAGACAGCAGCAAUGGCUUCGUAAGUCAGAAUUGGAAACCUAGUGACUAGUAGCUAGGGGUGUGCAUAGUCCGGGCGGGCGGUUCCCGACCUAGAACCGGAAAUUGCCCGCUAAGGACCGGUUCUGAAAAAUUGGAACCGGGAUCCACUCAUUUGUUGCAUGGAUCCACCUGAGAACCCGACCAUCGGUCCGAUUCAGUUCCCGGGUGGAUCCAUGGAGCCGAUCUUGAUGCGAAGGCGAGCUGUGGCGUCGCGGUCACGGGCGAGCGGGCAAAGGGCGCUCGUGGCAGCUGGCGCGGUGGUCAGCGCGGAGGCGAGCUAUGGCGUCGUGAGUCACUACGGUUUUGACGUUAGGCGACGGACGAGCUCGAUAGAUCGGGCUACGUCCGUUCGCCUCGCGCAACUCUGAGCCGAGAUCCUUGGGAAACCGACCCCAUAUCGGAAAAGUCGAGAACAAAGGGGGACGAAAUCUACCAUGAUUUUGACGUGAAAGAGAAGUCGAGGUGGGUCGUCGACUACGGUUCAAGCGCGGUGGUCAAUGGCAACUCUCCCUCACACUCUACCCUUACUCGCAGCUCUCAGAUCUCACUCAAUCUCCCCCUCUCUUUUCAACGUCUCACAGAUCUCUCUCUCUCUCUCUCUCUCUCUCUCUCUCUCUCUCACAUCAUCUCUACUUGACCCCCCUUCAUUGAACUCCAGGAGGCCCUAUUUAUAGGCUGAAGGGUCCGGUCGAUAGGGGCAUUUCCAGAAGGGUCUGGUCGACAGGGGCAUUUCCACUGUCAGUCCUGGGCACGCCAACCGGCCUCCCUCUUGGCCGAACCGGCAUCUCAGCCUGUCUUCUCCGCGUAGGCCUGCUCGGCAUCAAAGGCGUCCGCCAAGACGUCCCCUCCGUCCGGGUUUCUCACCGGAUCUCGCGCUGCUCUGUUCGGCAGCAUCGAUGGCUCCUGCGAGGUGUCCCCUCCAUCGUCGGUCUACCCUCCUCUCUCUCUACCCUAGGUCGUCCUGCGUGCCUUUAGUCUUCACCAAGCGUGGUGUCCACUGUCCAACACGAGGAAGGAAGGAGGAAGAAGAAGAGGAGAGGCCCGGACUGCGGAAAAGAUGAAAAAUGGAUUGGGCCAGCCUGCGUGAAGGAAAAGAAGAAAAGAGGGGAAAAGAGAGAAAAUUGUCCGGUAUCGCUAGGGUUUGUUUUAGUAUUUUUUUUAAUAUUAAAUAUUAAUCGGUCUGGUCCGGGUGGGCGGGUGAGCGGAUCCGCCCAUGGAAUUGGGAACCGGGAACCGGACCGGUUCCCUCAAGAACCACCGGUUCCCUCAAGAACCACCGGUUCCGAGGGUUCCAAUCCGAUUUCGGGCGGUCCAAGAGGUUCCUGGGUAUUUUGCACACCCCUACCAACAUCUACGAUCGGACAACCUAAGGACAGAAUCGUAGCAGGAACAGUGGCUUCUACCGUCUGGUUGCAGUGGCGAUGGAGCAGAGGAGGACCCAGCAGUAGAGGCGUCGCGACUUCUGGCGCGAGUAGAGGCGGUGGGUCGCGAGCGGAGACGAGCUCGGCUCAAAUCUUCCUGCGUCGGGUAGUUGCGGCGAGCAAGAGUCAGAGCGGCGUUGGCGACAGGCAGAGGCAGAGCACGGCAACGACGGGCGUCGAGCGGCAAGGGUUCGCGCGAGCGACGUCAGCAACUAGCGUCUGGCGACAAUGGCUUUGAGGGCAAGCGGUGUCCGGCGACGAUGGCCUUGAGGGCGAGCGGCGUCCGGCGGCGAAACUCAAAGCGGCGUCCGAUAGCGUGAGUUCUCUCCCAUAAAUCUGAAAGUCUGGACUCGAGAGCACCAAGCAGGGGAGGGGGGGCUCAUUUUUGAACCCUAACUAACCGGUUCUGGUUCCGGUUCCGCGACCGAUUCCGGUUCCGAUUCCGCGACCGGUUCCGGUUCCAAUUCCCAGAAAAAAGGAACCGGGAACUAGAAUCUGGGAACCGGAACCGGUCCUUUAAGAACCGGAAACCGAACCAGAACCGUGCUCACCUAUAGCUGCGACCCCGCCAGCCUCUCUUUAGCUUGUUGUUGGCCUCUUGUAGCCACAUGCAACCACACCAAUUGACCCCAAUGGAGAAAAAGAUGAACAAGCACAAACAAGGGUCAAACUGGAAAAAAAAACGAUGAUAGUUUUGGAAGAUUUUUUUUUUUUUUUAACAAACCCUAUGCUUCUUGCAUGCCGAGAAGGUUGACUUUUCCUCAAGGUGGGUGUCAAGAAUUUUACUAAACACCCAAUAUUUGAUCCGAAGAGAUAUGGAUGCCUAAAGUCCCUUCCCAAAGUCUUUUCUAGACGCAACCUUAAUAACUAGCCCCACACAAGUUAUAAAACCGGGUCCUUUGAGCAUGGUCUUGUAUGCCGAGACUCAGACGUUCCGGCCGUUCAAUAGGACCGAAGCAUCGUGCGACCUUUCUGCCUAAUGAACGAAUAGAUUAACACAAUCUUGUUUGACAUUGCUUGAGGCGAGAUUAAGGUCGACGGGUAGCACACAGUGACGGGGGUUAUAAACCUGCACCUGGCCAAUUUCCCCGUCCUUGCGGACGAGCACCAGGAGAUCCUGGAAGACACUCGAGUUUCCACUAGACCGAACAAUGUCGAUUUGAGUCGGAUCGUGCAUUUUUGUGUCGCUAUCUUUGCAUUCGUUUGAAGACCUGUCAAGCAGUAUCACUUCUCCGGCGAGAUGGUUGGAUGAGCCGACGGAGAUGCUUACGUUUGGUGAGUCAAAGAGGACGUAUGUUCGAUCAAACUGGAGGAAUUUGAAGAUGAUUCUUCGUUUGUUCGCAUGCCUUUCAAGCACGUCUUCCGUAGGGAGUGUAUGGCUGAGUGCUACGAGAGGAGAAACUUAAUACUUAUGUCCACUUUGCCGCCCCGAAGCUAUGCACACUUAUUAGCUAAUUAAUUCUAUUUGUUUAUCCCCUACAUUCACAGUUAAUAGGGAAAAUGAUAAUUAUAAGCGCCUUUGAACCGAGUACAGAUGUACAUUUCUUGUAUAAUAAUUUCGUUGCAAGCCAGACUUUUUCACUCUGUUUGCUCAUUUCUUUUACUGAUUACAUGUUCGCAUCGUUGGGAAGUACUAUGAUUCCGCAAGAUGUUUCAAAUAUAUGCCUUUUUCCAUAGAAUGCAUAUCCAUCGGCCAUCAGUACAUGAAAGUAUCUAUAAAUACUAAACAGGGGCAGUAUCAUCUUCCUUGACGUAUAGAGAGCUCGGAGCUUUAUUAUUCACACACUUUCCCUUACAUACUGCACUAGCUAGGAGGAGCAACAUAUGGCACUUCAGUAGUUUUCUAGUUUUUUCGGGGUAUUUUACUUUCUUCUUUCUGUCGGCCGUCGUGACAAUGCUACUUCCCAUGAUCACUGGGGCAGCCAUGGCUGCCAUGCCCAUGGUUGUGGUCAUCACCAUCGUCAUCGUCAUCGUCAUCGUCAUCGUCAUCAUCAUCAUCGUCGUCGUCGUCAUCAUCAUGAUCAUGGUCGUCGUCGUCGUGAUGGACACAAGCACUACGGCUGUACCCCUUCCCAAGACUACCGUAGCCUUUCCCGAGCCCAUAUUCCUUCAUGCUCUCUUACAUGCGCACAAAAAUUCAACAGAUUAUAUAUAUAUGAAGUACGUAUACAGAGAAGAUAGAUGAAGUAGAGUGGAAACUUACGAGAUGAAUUAGUCUCCUCGACAAGCUCGCGAGCUGCAGCCUCGUAAGAGGAGACGAGAAGAAGCAUGGCGAAGACAAGGCCACAGAGCACAAAAACCCUAGAGGAAGCCAUUCCUCAGUGCACCUGAAGGCAGUGAAACAAAGAACUCGAGUUUGCUCUAAGUGAUGAAUAUGAGGAUCGAACUUGCAUGGUAAGGUCACCUUAUAUAUAUAGCCUCAGAAGCGUAGAGAAAGGAACUUGCUGGCGGACCAAGCAAAACGAGCGUAGCCUGUUAGAUCUUACCUAUAGUAAGAGGAUUGUCUUCUUAUACAAUACACAUAGUUUGGAUUUAUCUAACAACACACAUAGUUUGGAUUUAUCUAACAACUUGGCAAGUGACAGCCUUAGACUGCAAAAAAAUUCUGGCGAGAUGGUUUCGUAUGGUCAUAUAAAAGGUCCUGGAUACUAAUGGUUCCAAGGUUAUUAGGAUGCAUUCGCGGAUCUUGACAUUGGCACAUUACGAGAAACGACAAGUUCAACGUUUAGUCCCGAAAUUUUCUUAUUUCGGCAUCCAGAAUGAGAUCGACUCAAGUUGUUCAAGUAAGCUUGAGUGGGAAAAUUGAACCUUGUGGGAUGUGAUCAAUCCUAAAUCGGUUAAAAGUUUAGGUCACCUACCGCUCUACAGUUUACCACAUUUGUGCAAGGCAUUGUAUAGGCGGACAUGUAGAAACGCGCAAUCUUUUUUUUAACAUGCAUGGAUGAAGAACAAAAUUUUCAUUGCUAGAACUUCUUUAAGGGUUCUAACUAUUAUUUUGUUAUCAAUCUCACAGCGAUAACGGAUUACUCUAAAUCAAUUUCAGACAUGCAUACUUACAAUGUUGCAAGUAUUGUCGUUUUGGUGCUAUUGAGGGUUGUUAAUUGAGCCACGGUAACAUAUAUCUUUUCAGAUGACCAGCAAACAUGAACACACAUUGUACGCACGCAAGAAAUCAAAAGUCGAAACAUUAAGCAAAAUUGUCUUUUUUCUAAAUAAUUGGAUGCUAUGUACAUUACAUAUAUCAAUACAUAUAUCAAUUGGUUCAUUAAAUAAAGAAAAAAAAGUUGGUAAAACUACCCGAUCCAAUGAAAUUGCAUAUGGAGAAAGAUAAUUUUCCUCCUAAUCUAAGCCCAAACGAAAGCAAAAGUAGAAAUCUCGACCAGCCAUUAGUGAAGUCCUGCUAAAAUGGUAAGGUAGCUUGCCUAUUGGAAAAUAGAUACAAGUACUUAAGACACUUCAAUGGACAUGUGAAGCUGGAGCUUCAUACGCUCACUUGCUCAGGUGAGCCAGUAGGAAUAUCAUCUCCGUCGACGCAUAAAGCUGGAAGCUUCGGUUUGUUGGUCACUCACACACAUUCCAUAUACAACGCACAGGAGUAUGUACUAGAAGCAGCAACUUAAAACUCAGAAGGUAUCUAAUUACAUUCUCGCUGUCUUUACUUCCUUCUAUGGGUUGCCUUUGUAGCCAGGCUAUUUCCCAUGCGCCAUGGCCGUGGCCAUGGUCAUGGUCGUGCUCAUGAUUGUUGUCGGGUUCAUUGUACUAUAUGUACUACAUCUCAUCAGUAUAUCAUCUGCAUAUGUAAUAUAUGAUGUUUUUGUUGGAGAAAUCCUCUUGAAGUGUUUUGAAGUUGACAAAACGUUUCCAUCAGUCUAGUCUGAAGGCUUGCAGACUCUACUAUUCAAAGUCUGAAGACCUCCGAACAGCCAGACUCAAGACUCAAAGUCUAUCCUCAUUGACAGUUUCUAAUCCGUUGAAGAAAGGCUAUCCAAAACUGGAUGUUUCAUUAAGAAUGUGACCUUAUCGACUGGAGAAGAUCUCUUGGCUGGAUAUGACAUAACGGAAUCCUUUGUUUGAUCAUAAUUGAUUUUGAAGAUUAAGGAUCCGAUGAUUGGCAAAGUAUACUUGGAAUGUUCUACUUAUGGAAACCGAGAUCCUGAUUGUAUGGGCGAACAGGAUUGAUGGGCUAUCGACAUGUUCCUUUAAUAGCUUGAAUGAUCUUCCUAAUUGAUUCCAUCCAACGGGUAGAUUGGAGGAAUUCCUUUGGAAAGUGCCAACGGGUAUGAAGGCUAUAUUCGUGAGAAACCUUGAGGAAGUGUGGUAGAACAUCUACACUGUGGAAUCAAGGAAAAGCUGUGCUGUAACUUCUCUUUUGUUCAUAGUGAAAUCCAGCCGGUGGGCUGUCAGUGCGGAAGAGUGGACGUAGGCUUGGAAUAAGCCGAACCACUAUAAAUCUUGUGUUCAAUUUUCUCUUCCCUAACCUUUACUUUACUUUGAUCGUAUUUUCAUUUCUAUCGUUUGCCUAGAAUUGCUUCCGUAUCUCGAGAAAUUGUUUGUGCACCUAUUCACCCCCCUCUAAGUGAUUAUACUAACUAUCUCAGUUUUUUCCUAGUAGAGAUCAGAACUAUCACAUAGGUGAUGGGAUUCAAAAUUCCACUGCCAAGUUUCUGUCAAAUCAUUUCAUUCGAAUGAGAUAAUAUUUACGUGCCCGGAUUUCCCUGACUGUCACGGGCUUCUCAUCGUAAGAAUGACGAGAGAUGAUUACUUCAUAAGAAACAUUAGUAGGGAGUGCCAUUUGAUCAUACAUACGAACCAUGUAGAGAAGUCCGGGGGAAGCGAUAUCAACGAGAUGAAUGAGUUGCCUCGGCAAGUUUGCAAGCUGAGAUCAUAAGAAGCACCGCAACGAGGAGGCUGCAGAGCAGAAAAACCUAGUGGAAGCCAUUUCUCAGUUAAAUUGAAGCAAAGACUGAGUUUGCUCCUGAUGAAGAAUGAUUUGCACAAAGUCGCACCUUCGUUAUAGACUCCAAAGAGCUCGUGGUGGGACAGGGUAUAAACAUGUGCGUGCUAGCAGUGGAAAAUAUUUAUUAGAUCCAGGAAAAUAUUGGAUUUCACUUCUACGUAACCACGCCGUUUCAAUUAUAUAUAUGUGAAGACUUGAGUACACUUUAAAACUUGUAAAAUAAUAUAGUAUUCCUAAAGAUCAACAAUUGGGCAUACACAGUAAGACCUCAUCUUCCUAACUUUGAAUUCUUCUUAUGGAUGAGUUAUAAAUAUGGACAUCACCCACAUUUAUUUAAAGUUAAGUUUUCAUGUGAGAGAUGUCCAAUUGGUUAAACAAGAAUUAAUUUCUCAAAUAAGAGAUCUUACAUAUAAUAAAAAUUAUUAUUGUUAUAUAGGGGUUAAACAUCACGUUCUGUGUACAAAAAUAUCAUAACAAUCCAUCAUUUUGGAACGUAUCAAUCAUACGUGUUCUUUCUAAUCAGGAGGAAUUAAUGCAUAUUCUUCAAUUAUUCUUCAUAUUAAAUUAUGGCAAAUCAAAACAACAGAAGAGAUAUAAGUAUUCCAAAGUCAAAUAUUGUAGAUGUAAGUCCAGCAAGAAACUUUCAGCGACAGGGUUUUUGACGAUCACGAUCAAUAAAAUGGCCUCCAAGAUUAGAUAGUGACGUGCCGUCGUAAAAAAAGUUGACGCUUGGUCCAUAUAUAACCUUAUCUUAGCUUCGAGAUUUAGAUCAACAUGAAGUUCAUAUAAGUCAGCCUCGGUGGGGAACUUGAGAGGCAUGUGGCAAAUCGGUUUAGAUUUAGGUCAUCUAUCGCUUUCCUCUGCACCUCAUCCAUGUAAACACACAUACAAAUAUGCAUACGUGAAGGGCUCUAGAUGUUCUUCAUGAAUACAGACGUAUGAUAACCUAAAUACUAAUUAUAUGAUAUCCCUCCGAAAUAAUUUACAAUAUACGCGAUAGUGCAAUGAAUUUGGUCAUACAUUAUAGUUGAUUCUUCAACAUGUGCUAUCAAAUAACAGCCGUAACAAAAACAAUUACCUGAAUAUAUUAUAUUCACAUAUAUAUCUUGUAUCAUUUGCUUAUAACUUGAUAUUUUUUAAAUGAUUGCAUACUCAAUCGAUAAGUUCAAGGUACACGAUGUCCGUAAGGAAUUCUCUUAUCUUACGCAACAGUUCAUUGUUUUAAGAUGGUCUCAUCGCUUUUACGUUUUUGUCACUUCAUCCGCAGUGAUUGGAGCAAUUCUUUUUAUGCUUUGAUUGGUAUCACACGAAACAUAUACAUACAACUAUACAAGUAAAAGCACCUUGGAGUCUGUGGAUAAAGUUAUACGACUUGACUCAGUCAAAAUUAAGUUCCUUUAUUAUUAGAGGAUAAGGUAAAGACCUUGCAAAAUGGCAAUCUAAAAUUAAUUACGUUGAAAGCAACACGCAGAUAUCAACAAUUUGAAGAUUUUACAUUCAAAAGCGAGUGCUUUUUGUCCCAAAAAAAAUAUUGGCUUAAUAUCAACAUUAGCUGUACAAUCCUUGCCUUGCUGUUUCUCACAUCCUACUUUUACUUUCUCAGAAAAAAGAAAAGAAAGAAAGAGUACGCAAUGAGAGAUAAUGACAAAAGGAUAUAGGUUGAGUAGAAAUGCAUUUCCGCACCGGGUUUCAUUUCGAUUAGAGACACACGUGAUAGACUGAGUAGACAAGAAGAUUUUUGCACCGUAAUGUCCUUUUCGGGUUCUAUAUUGUUGCAAAAGCCCACUACAUGGGACAUUUACUUUUGAAUUAAAAAAUUUGCGACAGGCAAUCUGCAAAGAGCCAUAUUUUCUUGCAUCGUUGAUCGAAGGAAAGUUUCUUCAUUCAUACCUUUGACUAGUGUAUCGCACCUUACAAGUCAUGAUAUUAUAAAUAUUAUCACCACAUAAAAAAAAAAAAAAUAAACGAGAGCACCAUUCAGAAGUUCAGUUGAAGGAAUUUCCCUGAAACCAGGGUUGGGGAAAAACAUGGGCUAUUUGCAAAUCCGGAUGAAUGAUGCUUGAUGCAACGGUGACGUGAAAUACUUUCACACGUUCCGGUUGUUGAUUUUCCAGUUGGUUAUUCAUAAAAUAAUGGAAACCUGAGUAGACGUUCCUCCGCAGUCACCAUGUCCAAAGUUGAAACAGGUGCAUAAUCAUUCUAAGAGCACAAUACGUACCCGCUAGUAUUUAUUGAAUUAAAACAUAACCAUGCGUGCGUGCAUAACUUGCACUUACUUUGGGAGUCCUCAUGUCUAAUAUACGUUCUCAUACCCUGAGCUGAAUCCGACGUCUCCAAUAAGAAAAAUAUGGGAAACUCGAGAAAUAGCACUUGCUAUACAGAGCUAAGGGAUAGAAUUUGUCGCCAAUUAAAGUGGGUUUUAUUCAUUCACAUGCAAACACCAGUGGACAUUUGAGACGACUCGUACUUGAAAUCACCAAAAGAACAAUCUGAAACGCAACAAAGCUGCUCAUGACAGUGGAGAAACCAUUUUAUCCAACCAUUAUUGCAGAAGCUUUUAAGCUUCUACGAGUUACAUGGCAUACAUUCUCCUACAUUCCCAGCAGGAUGAUGGACCCAACUGAGUCCAUUAUCUAGUUCUUGACAUCUUCGGUUUCUUCCGAAGGGUGACCACCAUGAUGACCACCGUGGCCGUGACCGCCGUGGCCGUGACCCCCGUGACCGUGACCGCCGUGGCCCUUUUCAUAGCCACCUUCAUACCCCUUUCCACCGUGGCCGUGUUCACCAUAUCCUUGGCCGUAGUUAGCCUCUUUCACGCUCUCCUCUGAAAUAUAAAGGCAGAGUAUGUGAUCAUAUCUGAGUCCACUAACAGAUAACAUGUAAUCUAACUUACUGUGUAUGAAUACGUAGAGUAGUAAGUUAAGAUCAACUUUUGAAACUGCUACUGUUUUGUUGACCUCUUUAUGAUGUACGUCACAUCUUAAUAUUCUACAACAUACCUUUCUCAAAAUUCAUAAAUUAAUUAAUCUACCGUGAACAACGGAAGCUAACAAGACAUUGACGGAACUCUCAUAAUCAAGUUUGCAAUUCGUUUCGUCUAUCGCCUCGAUAAAAACAUUUCUACAAAUAAUUUUCCAUGAUUAUUUGUCUGUCUGCCUUUAACAAACACGAGUGCUUCCACGACGGACAAUCACACGGAAACAUAUAUACACGUCAAAAGUGAGAAUGCGUUUCCCAUCAAACUGAAGAGAACUAGGUCAGUAAAUUGAGGGAAGACUCCAUUGUCGAGAGCACUCACGUGACUGAGUCUCCUCAGCAAGGUCACGAGCCGAGACCUGCGCGGCCAUGAGAACGAGAACGGCCAGAAGCAGGCCGCACAGGAGGAAAACUCUGGAGGAAGCCAUUUUCAUCGCUCAAGGCUAGCGGAUCACCAGAGAAAUUUGAAGGAAGACUACCCAAGUGAGUGCGUGGCUCAACUCCGAACUGGGGCGCCCUAUUUAUAGGGUGGGAAGUGGGAGUACAGACGAGGGGGUAUGAGCUGUAGCGGGACCCACAUGAUUUGUACGGUUGUGAUUUGCUUAAAUCCGGAGGAGAUGCGGCCAAAAGGCUUCCCGUCCAAGAGUCAAAAUAAGAUUGAGUGGCGGGAGCCGCUUGUGAUAUUGUUUAAGUGCCGUGGCGAGUGGAAGUUGACGAUUCGUCACACAAGUUCUUCGAGAUCAGUACUGUCUGGAUCUCUUGCUACGAGGCAUUAUUCAUAAUCUAGGGGGGAAAAUUCAAAGAUGCGGCACAAGGAGUCAUUAUAUACUUUGUGCCCUCUCUAUUGCACCCCAACUGCUUUCACUUGACCAAUUGCGAUAGCUUCUUUUCCUGCCAAAAUAUAAUGGAAAGCUUGUGAAAGGGUCGAAAAGAACAUGAACAAAAAGUUGAUAGAGCCACGAAACAAUUGAACACGCAACAUCACUAAAUAUCGUAGCGAUAAGAUGUUACCCUUUUUCACUUGAAUUAUUAUCGUGGUAGUGGAUUAAAAUAUUAUAUUCAAGGCCGAUUCGUCUGUGUAUCUUUGUGCAUGCUGUAUCUCACAUUAAUUGCGCUUUGAGCGGUUAGGUAUGGAAGGCAUAAAGAGAACCAAAUGCCUACGUCCUUCCUCACGUCACCCGUUGUCCUACAAGGGACGGGCUCUGCACCAACACGUUGGAUCCUCAAUCUACCUCAACCACAAGUACCGGUUGCAGACGUUCGUCUUAUUUUUCCAUGCACUGCACGAUUCUCUCUCUCACUAGAUAUUAAAUUGCCGACACAAAAGUUUGAAUAAUUGAAUAGAGAUUUUUGAGAGAGCUGGACCUAUGUUGAAUCCACAAGACAAAAGAAUAUGAGUGCCUGUUCAUUUUUUUAAAGUGAAUGAUUGUUUUUGUCCAUCAUGUUAUAAUGAUAUGAAAUCUAUAUUAUUGGCAUUUCAUUUGUGAAUAAUGAUAUCGUGGUCUCAUGAUUUUGCCACCAUCCAUAUGUUACCAUUGAUGGAUGUCCCUAAAUAGAUGUAGCUUACAUAUCUGAUGUGGUUCGGUCUCUAUGUGGGACUUUGCAUCUCAAGAAAAGACUUUACCUCCAAAAUUUCCACCUAAUGAAAAUAUUGUUUGGUAAUCAAUGUAAAAUAUACUUUUAAAAGCAACUUUGGACUGACAAGCCCUAUCUUCUCUCCCAAACCCCAACCCCCUUAAAUUCAUUACAACCGUUGCCACCACUCACCGACGGCCACACCACCAUCCAGACCAGACCGAGACCUCCCCUUGUCCACUGAGAAAAUAUUGGAUGGUCUCGGAGCGCCAGGUCACCGUGCACCCCCAACCAAUGAGAAAGUGACGCGUUGCUCCACGUGAGCACGAGCGGCCCCACUGAUUUUUCUGCACAAAAUAUAUUAUUUUCUCUUUUCUAUUUAAAAAUUUACUGUCAUCGAUAGACUUGUUGCAUCUUUUUUCUCUCUUUAUCUUUUUUGGAGUAGGCCUGCACGCAUUAAUGGCGCUUUCUCUCUCCUCCAGCUUCCCUUCCCUCCUUUCUUUCCUUCUCAAUUCAAAAUUUUCGGUGAGAAUUCACUCUCUACGUUGCGUUGCUUCUCCGGCUUGUUCCGGGGUUGGGUCAUCUCUGCUCUCUGGCCCAAAGCACGUUGCUCCUCCGCCUUGCUCCGACGCUCACUCAUCUUCGCUCUCUGCCCCAAAGCUUGUUGCUUCUUCGGCCUACGUCGUUGUGUUCCUUCUCCGCCUUGCUCCAGUGUGGUUUCCGAGCGCAAGACGGUGAAGAAUGUUCUUGCUGUAAGUCGCAGACUCCAAGCGACAAGAAGUUGCAGCUCUCUCCGAUUUGGCUUCGGAUUUGCUACGUUCGUGGCUCGUAACAGUGAGUUGAUUUGGCGAAUGCUUGCUGUGACCGGCUGCACAAGCUGCUGGUGAAGAAGAUGGAGGGGUGGACCGGCAUGUGUAGCGACAAAGGUGGAGAGAGAGAGUGGAGGAAGGUGAUGGAGGCGUCGUGCGGAAAGAUGGAUGAGGAGGUUGGAGGGAAUGGGGUGGACGCGUCAAUGAGGAUGGCAAGGUUGACGGCGGUGGUGGCGGUGGUGGGGAAGGAGGUGGCGAUUUGAAACUUCCAAUACGAUUCAAUCGUUUUCAGGCGAUCAAAUUUCUAUCAUUUCAUUUCAUCCAAAUGAGAUCAUAAAUGAGGAGAGUUAUGGCUUUCGGCAUUUUGUAAGUUUGACAGUAAAGAGUGCCUGAGUGAUAUGGUUCCUGAUCAGUUUUUUUUAAGUGACAAAUGCACUAGACGUAUUAAAAUUUAUCACGAAAAUAUAAUAAAGUCUUAAAAUUUCUAAGAUUUAAUGGAGUUUUAAAAUUUAUCACAAAAAUAUAAUCAAGUCCUAAAAUUUCAAAGUUUUAAUCGAGUCCUAAAAUUUCAAAGCUUUGUAAGUUGUAUAAUUAACGGAAUGGAAAGCAUAUUAAAUUUGGAGGAUGAGCAUAGUAAUUGAAGAACGCCACCGCCUGUACGCGCUUCGUAAUUGACCGACUUGGUGGGCAUACGGUUUGCUGAGCACGAUGUUGAGGAAGUUUCGCUGGAUAGAUCUUAAGGAAGGAAUUCCGCAUGAACACGAUAGGAUCAAACUUGUCCUGAUCUUACCCUUGGUUUUCGCUUAAGGAUUCUCUCGUAUAAUGUCAUGAGUCGUAACGGCUAGAGUUAUAUGCGGUGAAAUUGACGAGGUUUAUACAUUUUUUUUUGCACGUUGAGAUUCAUUUGGUAACGUUUCUGUUUCGAAAAGUAAUUUUUUUUCAAAAAUAAUCUUUUUCAAUUUCUAUUCAUCGGAAUAACUUUUCAAUAAAAAAAGAUGUUUAGUAACUACACAAAAUUUCUAUUCUCAGAAUAGUAAAAGAAUAGGAAUAUAUUCGGUACAAUUCACAAAAUUUAUUAUAAUGUAGAAUUUCUUUUUCUUGGGAUUCAUUUAGUAACGCUUCUAUUUCGGGAAACAAUUUCUUUUCAAAAAUAGUCUUUUUCUAUUUCUAUUCCCUAAAUAACUUCUCAAUAAAAGAACGCCUUUAGUAACUAUACAAAAUAUCUAUUAUCAUAAUGGUAAAAUAAUAUGAAUAUGUUUGGUACAAUUCACAAAAUUUAUUAUAAUAUAUAAUUUCUUUUAAUUUUUUCCUUAUUCUUCCUUACGGCCAUUGCCGAUGACCACCGAUGACGCCGCCCGCCACUCGUCACCAUUGGUCACCGUGGAUCUGUAGUCAACCGCAGUUGUUGGUGGUAGUGAACAACGGGCAGCGGCAAUCGGUGGCGGCAGGCGGUGUCGUUGGUGGUCAUCCAUGGUGGGGGUGGUCGGCGGCAGCGACAUCGACAAUCAUUGGCGACGACAACAUUUGGCAACGAUAGCAGUAGGUCAACAAUGGUGGGCAACGAUGGUUGGUCAGCGGUAGGUGACAGACGAUAGAGGGGGGUGGCAGUCAAUAAAGAAUAAAAGAAAAAAAAAUGAAAAUGACUUAUUUCUAUAAAUUAUUUUCAAGAAUAAGAAAUUACUUUUUUCUACUUCUUGUUUUUAUUCAAAAUCUAUUCCUCAACCACUUUUCUAUUUCAGGGAUUAAAAAAAUUAAUGACGUUACGAAACGGAUUUUUAUUUUUUUUGUUCUAAGGAACAGAAGAGUAGAAAUUAUGAAAAUAGAAACGUUACCAAAUAGGGUCUUGAUGGUUAGAUGGGAUAAGAACAAACGACAAUAUGCCAAUUUGCCGACUAGAAAAUUAUAUAUUGUAUCUUGCAGCAAUGUGCUCCAUCACUAAUUGUAAAAAAGAAAAUUAUCAAAACAAUUCUAAACUUAUUGCAAUUUUUUUCAAUUUAAUAAUAAACUUUUUUUUGUCAAUUCAAUUUUAAAUAUUUUGCAUUUGUGCUAAUUCAAUCUAUCCUAUCAAUUUUGGUAAACGGGUGCUAAUAUGGAUGCUAGUCGACAAUGGCUAUUUAGUCAACGCUGAUGUGUCACUUUUUAAUAUAUUUUUAUUUUUUCUCUCUAUUUUUUUUUCUCUUUUCUUCUUCCGUUGGCCAGUAGCUAGAGGCUAGGGCUAGUGAGGUCGACCUCACGAUGCUAACCAAGGUCUCGCCUAGCCAAAUUUGGGCAAUCUCGACCUUGCCUAGUGAUAACGAGGCUAGCCUUUACCUUUUGCCCUUGCUGUUGUGGUGCUGGCCAAGGUCUCGCCCAACUAGAUUUGGGUGAGGACGAGCCUCACCAUGAUUGGACAAGCUCAACCAGCCCUCACCCUCGCCGACAUGGAGCUUGCCAAGCCAUAUUUGAGCGAACUAAACCUUGCCCUCGCCACCCCCUAGUCCAACCAAUGAGAUUGACUUUGCUGGCCUUUAGUCUUUGGAUCAGUGAGAAGAAGGAUAAAGGAGAAAAUGAAAAAUUAAAUAAACUAAAAAAUUGAAACGAUUGAGUUGACAUAAAUAUUAAAUAUUUAAAAUUGAAUUAAUAAAGGAAUGAUUUAGGGUCAAACCGGAAAAAAUGCAAUAAAAAACUUGAUGAUGACUUGAGUAGAAAAUGUGAUGAAGUCGGCAACAUGUCCUUUUCGGAAUUGGCGUGCCGUUGUUAGUCAAUAUGGCGAAGUCCUUUUCUAUUUUUUUAAGUUUCUUUGGUCAAUAAAGACAGCUUCUUCACGUUGGCCAAAGAGGAAUUGGUGGUGAUUAAGGGCACAUUUAGUAACGAUUUUAUUCCCAACAACAUAUUGUGAUUUGAAAUUAUUAUUUUUUAUUUUGUUCCCGAGAACAAUUUUUAAGCAUUUUAAACUGUUUGGUAACUAUCCAAAAUUUAUGAUUCUGGAAUAAAAUUGUGUUUGGUACCGUACUCGUUGAUUCUGUUCCAAAUCAAUUUCUUUUCAUUUUUAAAUAAUUUUUUUUACUUUUUACUUAUUUUCUUUUUAUUUCAUUUUUUUCUUUUUUUUUUCUUUCUUUUUUUUCCUUUUUCUCCUAUUCUUCUUCUUCUUAUGGCCGAUCGCCAGUUCGGCGAUCGGCCAGACGAGGACCGGCAACCUCAUCGGAGCGUUGUCGGCCCUUGUCGGCCGAGCCUCGCCAAUAGUUGGGCGAGGCUCACCUAACCCUGCCAAGGCUCGGCCUCACCAACUCAGCCUCACCAGCAGCCAGGUUGACCUCGCUGGGCUGGGUGGGGCUGGGNNNNNNNNNNNNNNNNNNNNNNNNNNNNNNNNNNNNNNNNNNNNNNNNNNNNNNNNNNNNNNNNNNNNNNNNNNNNNNNNNNNNNNNNNNNNNNNNNNNNUCAAUUUAAUGGACAUUAACAAAUGACCAGAUGAGUUUAGAUACAAUAUGUAAUGACUUAAUUGAUAUGCAAUACCCACAUUCAGCAGAUCUGUUAAUUAGUACAAUCAGUUUGGUCACAGGUUCUUAAGACGUCCAUCAUUCAAAGGUUACCAGCAUGUAAAGGAGUAUGCAUGAGUAACCAAAAGUUUCAUAACCUUUUGCCGUUUCUCAUCACUUCAAUACAUAAUUCAAUUAUUAUCCCAUAAUGGUUGUAUCUCAUUAAGCCAACUUCAGUUCACAAUAAAUUUUAAUUUUUAUUAAUGAAUCACACCAUUAUAAUGUUUAUAUGAUAACAUACCUGUAAUCCAACACUUGUAUUUCCAAAAUCACAGAAAAUACAAGAAAAAUACGCAAAAAUACACUAAAAAUACACGUAUUUAGGGAUUUGUAUGUAUUUUCACAUCCAUAAAAUCAUCAAACAUAUAAAAUAAAUACACCACAAGAUAGAGAAUGAACAUGCGAAUCCAACGCCGCCAGCCAUGCGCUGAUCUGAUGCUCCACGAGCCUACACGCACCACCUAAGUGCAUGGCACGUGGAGCCCAUGAGCUAGCGUAUCUUAACCGGUCAAAACCGGUCCAACCGGUAGCGGUCCGAUCGGUUCCCGAUUCAACUAGUUGACCGGGUCGGGUCGGGUUGGCCGCCAAUUGGGUCCCGGUCGCUAAUGUCACUAUGGCGUUAGCAUACGUGCGUGUGUCGCACAUGCAAGCUGCGCCUCGCACGUGAGGGCGUGUGACCGCGCGUGACCACGCGUGGGGCGCGUCUCCUACACCCUGACAGCNNNNNNNNNNNNNNNNNNNNNNNNNNNNNNNNNNNNNNNNNNNNNNNNNNNNNNNNNNNNNNNNNNNNNNNNNNNNNNNNNNNNNNNNNNNNNNNNNNNNNNNNNNNNNNNNNNNNNNNNNNNNNNNNNNNNNNNNNNNNNNNNNNNNNNNNNNNNNNNNNNNNNNNNNNNNNNNNNNNNNNNNNNNNNNNNNNNNNNNNNNNNNNNNNNNNNNNNNNNNNNNNNNNNNNNNNNNNNNNNNNNNNNNNNNNNNNNNNNNNNNNNNNNNNNNNNNNNNNNNNNNNNNNNNNNNNNNNNNNNNNNNNNNNNNNNNNNNNNNNNNNNNNNNNNNNNNNNNNNNNNNNNNNNNNNNNNNNNNNNNNNNNNNNNNNNNNNNNNNNNNNNNNNNNNNNNNNNNNNNNNNNNNNNNNNNNNNNNNNNNNNNNNNNNNNNNNNNNNNNNNNNNNNNNNNNNNNNNNNNNNNNNNNNNNNNNNNNNNNNNNNNNNNNNNNNNNNNNNNNNNNNNNNNNNNNNNNNNNNNCUAGACAGCCUCAUAUUAGACUAAUUAAGAAAUUUUCUAUCUGACCUUAGAUCAACCCUGUGUUUACGGUAACUGUAAAAAAAGUAAAUUAUAAUAUCAAUUAAUGUAGUCCAUAUUAGGAAAUUUUUUACGUAUCCAUCUCUCCAAACCCCCAAAUUGCCCCUCAAUUUGCCCUCAAAACUGCUCCUUUGCAGGAUCUCAAUCCUUGUGUACGAUCACCAGGACAAGCUGCUAUUGCAGGUUGGGCAUGUUUAUUCGGUUUCCUGUGUCGAAUUUGAAUAAGAAUUGAGGUCGAUGUUGAUGUCUAUUCAUGUUACUGCGAGAGUUUGUUUAUUUUCACGGGUUCCUGUUAUUUUCGAAUUAGUUGCAAUUGAUUUCAUUUCAUUCGUGUUGGAAUCGAGGAACUGUGCUUGUAGGGGCACCCGAAGCGGGUCCUGCUUCUCUAUCCGUGCAUGCUUUAUCUCUACGUCGACAUGAUCGUGGGGCUGAGCAACGCCGCCGCGCGCUGUCCUCGGCGUCGAGCUUCAGAUGCCCUCCGACGAGCCCUACCUUUCCAUGUCGUUCCAAGAUUUCUGGGGCCGGAGGUGGAACCUCACCGUGACCAACGCCCUGCGGCACACCGUGUACAAGCCCCUGAAGUCGUUCCUCGAACCGCACUUGUGGGCCGCAUGGGCGACGGCGGCUGCAGUCAUGGCAGCGUUCCUCGCGUCCGGGCUGAUGCACGAGUUGCUGUACUAUGACGUGACACGUGCGAGGCCUACUUGGGAGGUGACGGGGUUCUUCGUGCUGCAGGGGGCGUGCGUGGUGGUGGAGGUGGCGGCGAAGGCGGCGGUGGGGGAGAGGUGGAGGCUGAGCAGGGCGGUGUUGACGCCGCUGACGGUGGGGUUCAUGGCGGCGACCGCCAUGUGGCUGUUCUUCCCGCAGCUGAUCAGGAAACGGGGCGGACGCGAGAGCCAUUAAAGAGUGCAAGGCUUUCGUGGAGGGGCUGAGGCCCAAGUUCUGACACGCGGUACGAGGCAUUUGGGGUAUAUUUAAUGUGCACAAUGUUGUUCUUACGAAAUCGGUUAAUCACAUUUCAAAAAUUUUCAAGCUAACAUUGGUCCUCAGUUACUGGGAAAAAAAANNNNNNNNNNNNNNNNNNNNNNNNNNNNNNNNNNNNNNNNNNNNNNNNNNNNNNNNNNNNNNNNNNNNNNNNNNNNNNNNNNNNNNNNNNNNNNNNNNNNNNNNNNNNNNNNNNNNNNNNNNNNNNNNNNNNNNNNNNNNNNNNNNNNNNNNNNNNNNNNNNNNNNNNNNNNNNNNNNNNNNNNNNNNNNNNNNNNNNNNNNNNNNNNNNNNNNNNNNNNNNNNNNNNNNNNNNNNNNNNNNNNNNNNNNNNNNNNNNNNNNNNNNNNNNNNNNNNNNNNNNNNNNNNNNNNNNNNNNNNNNNNNNNNNNNNNNNNNNNNNNNNNNNNNNGCUCUCACUAAUAAAAAAAUUGCCCUUUGAAGCUCGAUAAAAUUACAUUCCUACUGUCAUGAGUUUUCAGACAACCAUUUCGCUCCAUUUUGUCGGAGAUUGUAUCGUUACUCUUUCAAAUAAUGUUAUACUAGGACCAGUCUACUAUAACAUGAAGACAUCAAGUUCUUAUGCUUAGAAUCGUUGGAUCAUCACAAUUAAAUUUCAGCCAUUGAUCAUUAACGGUUGAGAGUCAUUAUUGGAGAUGCCUCACAGCAUAAUAGCCUAGUUCAUCUAACUAGGUUGUCAAGAAAUUUGUUGAACUAGAAUUUAGGUUCAGAGAAUGUUUAUGCUCCAUGGUAGAUGCUCAUUCCUUUAGAGCGAUGCAAAAUUGAAUAAAAAGUGAGGAUGUAAUUACAGACAGCUUAAGUUAGGGGACUGCGCAAAUAAAAUCAAAUCUGAGGACUCAAUAGAAAAAAGAGUGCAAGUUGCAACGAUCCACAAGUGGUACUCUUUUGGGGAAAACUCCAUCUCAACUUUAUUCCCGUUAUCGUCCUGCAUAUGUCCCUUUAUACUUCCUCUUUUUUUGUUUUUUUUUUUAUCAAAUAUUUCCCUCACUUUAGAGUCCUCCAAUUUGCACUUUAAUUUUCGUUAAUAGAUUUCGAUUGGACCAAAAUGCCACUAGUCUUUAAAAAGUGCCAAACGUACUUUCUAAGCCCACCUCGAUCUUCUUUUAUUGAGAGAAGGUAACAUACGGCACAGUAUUCAAUGGUUAGGCAGCAUGACAUCAUAAGCUAACUUUAGCAUUAAUUUUUUUUUUCGAAUCCAAUAAAAAUUGAUACUUGUUCAUGACGUGGCACAUAAAUGAAAAAAUCUUUCUCUGGUCGCAACAGUGGGGGAAUCUCUCUUUCUUUGCCCUGUUCUGUUGCAGCAAAUGGACGAGCCGCAACAAAGUGAGUGGCUUGGCCAUGGACGGCAACGACUGCGAGCCACGGCAAUGACGAAGGGAUGGCUCGGCCAUGGAUGUGCGGUAGUGGUCGGCUUGGAUGCAGUGCCGGCGACUCUGCUGGUGACUCUGAUGGAGGGAGUGGCCGUGGAUGGAGAAUGAAGAAGAGACCAAAAAAGAAGGGCUGGUUUUUAAUUCUUUUAUUUGUUUGCCACGUCAUAGACAUGUCAAUUAUUCAUUGGAUUUCAGUACAAAAAUGCAUGCCACAUCAGCUUAUGAUGCGAUUUUAACUAACCACCGAAUAAUUUCUAGCAAUAUAUCAAAAAUUAUAGAAAUAGCUUAGAGUGCGUUUGAUUGGAUUUCUAGGGAAAGUUUUGGGAAAAUGCAAAAGAUUUUAAGUUAAAAAAGUUUUCAAAAAUGAAAAUUAUGUUUGUUAAAUUAUAAUUUAAAAAUCCAUUGUGAAGUACUUUUGAGUAAAAUAGUACUUGGAUAAGGAUUUUAAUUAUUUAAAAAAAGAAAAAAAAAACAAUUGGCCCUUUGCCGACUAAGGGUAGGCCAUCGCCGACUAAGGGCAGGCCAUCGCCGAUAAUCCAGAUCUAUUGUCGAUAACUGUCGUCUAAGGUCGCAAGACCUCAAACAGCCCCUGGAGACCAUUGGCGAGGGCCACUUCGGGUCGAGUGACCCUAGCGCGGGUCAUGUGCUACUAGGGGUCAUGUGACCUACGUAACCCCUUACAACUUCGAAAGUCACUUGAACCCGACGAGGGCUAGUUGGGUCAUGCGACCUUCAUAGCCGUAACAACUUGCAUAACUCGUUACAGCUCAGAAGGUCACUCGAAUCCAACAAGGGCCAGUUGGGUCUUGUGACCUACGUAACCCCUUAUAGCUUCAAAGGUCACUCCAACUCGAUGAGGGCUAGUUAGUUCGCGCAACCCUCGCUAGGGGUCACUUGACCCCAACAAGGGCUAGUUGGGUUUCUUAACCCCAAGUAGCCCCUUGCCGAGGUCAUGUGACCACCGAGGGUUGUCUGCCGUCUAGAUUAGGCGACCUCGUCCAGCCUUGUGAUGGUCAUGCAACCUAGAUGAUACUCACCUACACGGUCGCUUGGGUCGCUCCGACUAGGGGUGAGCAAUUUCAGGUUCCGAUUCGAUUCCGUCUAGAACCUGGAAUCUACCCUCGGGUAUAGAUUCCUCAUUUUUUGAAACCUGAAACCUACCCUCGGGUACAGGUUCCUCAUUUUUUGAAACUAGGAACUUACCCGUCAGAACCAAGAAUCUCGAACCUACCCUGUCAAGAGUUCCAGGGUCGGUUCUAGGUUCCUACAGGUUUUUUUUUUUUUUCACUUUUAGAUUUGAACUACAAUGUACGCGCUUUACCAAAAAAAAAAAAAAAACUAUAACGUACGCACAUACUCUACGAUAACUUCCCACAUCUUAGCAAACAUAGUAUAUACCAAUGCCAACUGCCAAGAAUUUGGACAUACAUAAUCAAAACCAAUAAGAAGUUUCCAAAGAGGAAAGGAGGGGCUUGAUUAACUAUAUUAUUGUGCCCACAUAAGUCAAUAUAUGUACACUAAAGUUUAAAUCGUCACAUUUGCUAUAUGUCAUAUGCCUUAUCAACUGAGUCAAAUGAAAAUGAUUAAGCAAAAUAUACUAAGAAGAUGAAAAACCAGAAGUGCCAACAAGACGAUGAAGCACAUGAAAAUGAUGAAGCAAAAUNNNNNNNNNNNNNNNNNNNNNNNNNNNNNNNNNNNNNNNNNNNNNNNNNNNNNNNNNNNNNNNNNNNNNNNNNNNNNNNNNNNNNNNNNNNNNNNNNNNNCAACAUUUCCCUAUGAUUCCUUUAGCACAGCAAACCCUGCAAAGACAUGGAUAAAAAUCAAUCAAAAUCCUAAGUAAAGACACAUCCAAAAAUCAAUAUCGAUAAUACUCCAUGAAGCAUGUCAUUUUGCCCAUCUAAAGUCUCCUAAAUUCUUUAACAACAUAGUUCAAAAAUUCAAUGUACAUAAGAGUAGCCUGCAUUAAGAUUACGAUAAACAAAGUUGCUCAUCAAUCAACUUCUGCGUAGUUAAAGCAGCACAAAGCCAACAAAAAACCUUGCUUGACUUCUCAACCGCUGGACCCAUUAUAGAUGUGACACCACCAACUCUAAUUAUCGACGAUAAUCUUCGCAUUAAGACCAACCAUAUCUAAAGAAGAAGAAGAAGAAGAAGAAGAAGAAGAAGAAGAAGAGGUUAAAUAAAAUAUUCACUUAUCAGAUUUACAAAAAGAAUUACAAUAUAUAAAGAUAUAAAUAUUAUUUACCCAACUAAAAUUGUUCUGCGUUCUCGAUACACUCUUCAACAUCAAGUGGUACACGAACGGCUCUCAACCAAUCUUGAGUGCAAAUCAAAGCUUCCACUACUUUGAGAGUUAAAGAACUUCGAAAGCCAUCAAGCACACGACCCGAUGUACUAAAAGUUGACUCUGAAGCAAUGUUAGUUACAAGAAUGGACAAAAUAUCUCGAGCCAUCAAAGAAAUGAUCUUAUAUUUUGAGCCAUUAGUCUUCCGCCAAAUCAAAAUGUCAAGACCAAGAUCAUUUUCAUGUUUUUCUUGAAGAUACUCAUCAAGCUCGGACUUGUUGUUAUUGCACCCUUGUUUAUUCGAGUAUAAAAACAUUUUCUUCCAAGCUUGGUUGUCAUAUUUCUUUAUUCCUUCAUUACCACCCAUAUCGGUAUUGGAAUUGGAACUACUACUACUUGCACCUAAAUUAUGGUCACCAAAAUCUUGAUCACUUGAAAUAAGAUAAGAUUGUUCAUAAAAUUCAUACAAACGCUCCAAUGCAUCCUUUACCUUGUAAUGCAUCUCUUUAAUUUUCGAUUCAUCAUCAUAAAUUUGUCCAUACAAGAAACUCACAUAAUUUAACUUGGCUCUAGGAUCUAACACAAUCGCAAUCAACACCAUUAUAUUCACUUUAUUCAAACUUUCAUAAUAUUUGUCAAAUUUUUCUUUCAUUUUCACACCCAUAGCUUGAAACUUAUGAUCCGAAGCAUUAACCACAUCUUUCAAAUAUCUAUACAAAAGAGCUAUCCUUUCAAAAUAAUCAUUUGAAGUAACAUAUGAAGUCCUAGACAUUUUAUUGGUGGCAUUAUAGAAUACUUUUAGAAAAUCCGAAAGAAUAAUAGCAUUUUCUCAAUCAUCAUCACUAGGAGUUUCAUGAUUAAGCUCACUUACAAAAGAUAGAUCGUGAUCUUCCAUCCUUUCGAAAGCUUUUCUGAACUUUAUGGCGGUGUCUAACAUGAGGUAAGUGGAGUUCCAUCUAGUGGCAACGUCAAGAACUACUGAACCCUUAUAAGUGAACUUUUCUCUCUCAAUGCAAGAUUGAAAUCCUUGGGCUCUCAUGGGAGAACUCCUUACAUACAUAACCACAUUUCGAAUACGUGCAAUUGAGUCAAAUGCCGUACUCAAUCCAUCUCUCACAAUCAAAUUUAAUAUAUGAGCUGUACACCUCAUGUGCAAAACACUACCAUCUAAUAUCAACGACCUUUGUUUCGAAAAUUUUUGCCUCAAAUAGCUAAUUGCAACAUCAUUCAAGCUAGCAUUAUCCACGGUAAUUGUGGACACCUUUUUUUUUUUUUUUUCUAUUUCCCACUCCUCAAUGCAUUUCUCCACCAUUUUCUCAAUCUCCUUACCCCUAUGACUAUGCAUCACCACAAAGUUGAUGAUUCUUUUAUGCAACUUCUAAUUUUCAUCAAUAAAAUGUGCAAUGAGACACAAAUAAUUCAGAUUUUGAUUGGAACUCCAUGUAUCAGUCAUGAGUGCGAUCCUAGAAUUAAUCUUUCCAAAAUAAUUCUUCAAAGAAGUUAUUUCACAUAAAAACAACUUCAUGCAAUCUUUUACCAUUGUGAAACGUAAUACAUGUUUGAAGAGAGGUUGUAACUCAGUAACAUAUUCACGAAAUCCAACACACUCAACCAAAGAAAAAAGUUUGCUCAUCAAGGAUGAUGAACCGAGUAAGCAUGUGCCUACAACAUUCUUGAUUAAAUGAUCAUAUCGAUAAGACGCUACCAGUACUAGAAUCUUCUCCUGCCUUGCCAGCCAUGUUGACAUUACGUGGUGCAAAUAAUUUAUGCAUCUUAUCUACAUUAUGAUGAAACCUCUUGCAUGUGGUCAAGUGCUUCCUCAUUGCAGAAGUACCGUUAGCAACAUGGUACUUAAGCAUGCACCCACAAUGAAUACACUUCACUUGAUAUAUUUUUUCAUCCUUAUCAUUGAUUCUUGAAUAAUGAUUCCAGCAUUCAGAUGUAUAUUUCUUAUUAUGAGGAAGGUGAGAACUGGGUACCUUAUUUGUGGCACUCGAGGUAAAGGGUGCCUUUUCUUCAAUUUCAUCGCCAGAAAACUCCUAUUUCGUAAUCGGAGUCAUCUCCUCACAUCCCUCCACCUCCAUUGACGUGUUAUCUUGACACAUUAAUUUCGCACUACACAACAAUAAUAGAAUAUAAUUAGACAUUUCAAAACAGAAUGUGAAUUGAGUUAUAGAAUAUGUAGGCAGCUACUAAAAACCAAAUCAAUACACAACUUUCCCCUCAAAAAACGCUCUUAAGUAUUGUAGACAAUUAGCUUUUACUAAAUGAUAAUAAUCUGUGUAUUUUCAUAGAUGAUAACUCGUGCGCAAAUGACACAAGCUAAAAGGAGUCAAAUUUGAUCAUGCAUAUAUCCAUUAUGCAGCACAUUGUUAUCCUUCUCUUAUAUUACCUCUGCAAUUAAGGACCAGUAAUCUAGAAAAGCCACCCAAAACAAAGAAGUUAAGCAUCUAGAUUGCCAAAAUUCAAAAACAUCGGCUUGCCCAAAACAAAGAAUUGAUCAGAGCAGUUUCAUUGAGCAAGUAGUCAUAGACCACAACUUGCAUUUCUUUUCUUGUUCCAUUAAAUUGUGAAGGCAAUGACAACUUUGUUUUAUGUAGAAGUACCAGCUUUACUUGAGCAGGUUACAGAAGAAAAAUGAACUAAAAUUUCUAAUGGGGGGAUGAAGCAUUCGGAUCUAAACCCACAAGAUGCUACCACUGGUAUAAUGAUGCUAUCAGAACUCCAUCAAUUUGAAAUUGUUAGCAUAAUGAUUUGGUACAUUAGAACUCCAUCAAUUUCUAGCAAAAUGAUGCUACAAAAUACAAAUGGCAACUCAAAAUUUGCUGCCAACAACUUGCUUAUCCAGAAUUUGAACUCCAAAAACAAUGAAAUUGACACCAGAGGGACUAUAAUCACUGAGCAAUCUAGUCUUAGAAAUUAGGAAUCAAUCACUCACUCCCUCCACUGGAGCAGGAAAUGAAAUUCACAGCAUUUGAUGGUAUUACCCCGAGAUCGUACUCUUGGAGUGAACUUCCAGAAAUCCAAUUUCACUGGGUGAGCGGCGUCCGGCGCUGAGCAGGGACGUCGGUCGCUGGUCUUUGGGGCAACAACGUCAGGCAUCGCGACUGCUGGCGUCGGGUCAUUAGAGCAGAGGCGGAGACGGCAGUAGCGGCGUCGUGGGUAAGAAUCAGAAUCCUAGUGACCAACAGCUAUGAUCGAACGGCUGAGGAUGGAAUCGCGGCAGGAACGGUGGUUUCUGGCGUCUGGUUGCAGCGGCGGUGGAGUAAAGGAGGACCCAACAGCAGGGGCGUCGGGGCUUUUGGCGCGAGCAGGGACGUCGGUCGUUGGUCUUCGAGGCAAUGGCGACAGGCAUCACGACUGCUGGCAUCGAAUCAUUGGAGCAGAGGUGGAGACAGCAGCAAUGGCGUCGUGAGUCAAAAUUGGAAACCUAGUGACUAGUAGCUAGGGGUGUGCAUAGUCCGGGCAGGCGGUUCCUGACCUAGAAACGGAAACCGCUCGCUAAGGACCGGUUCCGAAAAAUUGGAACCGGGAUCCAUUCAUUUGUUGCAUGGAUCCAUCUGGGAACCAGACCGUCGAUCUGGUCCAGUUCCCGAGUGGAUCCAUGGAGCCGAUCUUGACGCGAAGGUGAGCUGUGGCGUCGCGGUCACGGGCGAGCGGGCAAAGGGCGCUCGUGGCUGCUGGCGCGGUGGUCAGCGCGGAGGCGAGCUAUGGCGUCGCGAGUCACUAGGGUUUUGACAUCAGGCGACAGAUGAGCUCGAUAGAUCGGGCUACGUCCGUUCGCCUCGCGCAAAUCCGAGCCGAGAUCCUUGGGAAACCGACCCCAUAUCGGAAAAGUCGAGAACAAAGGGGGACGAAAUCUACCGUGAUUUUGACGCGAAAGAGAAGUCGAGGUGGGUCGUUGGCUACGGUUCAAGCGUGGUGGUCAACGGCAACUCUUCCUCACACUCUACCCUUACUCACAGCUCUCAGAUCUCACUCGAUCUCCCCCUCUCUUUUCAACGUCUCACAUAUCUCUCUCUCUCUCUCUCUCUCUCUCUCUCUCUCUCUCUCUCUCACACACACAUCAUCUCUACUUGACCCCCUUCAUUGAACUCCAGGAGGCCCUAUUUAUAGGCUUAAGGGUCCGGUCGAUAGGGGCAUUUCCACUGUCGAUCCUGGGCACGCCGACCGGCCUCCCUCUUGGCCGAACCGGCAUCUCAACUUGUCUUCUCCGCGUAGGCCUGCUCGGCAUCGAAGGCGUCCGCCAAGACGUCCCCUCCGUCCGGGUUUCUCACCGGAUCUCACGCUGCUCUGUUCGGCAGCAUUGAUGUCUCCUACGAGGCGUCCCCUCCGUCGUCGGUCUACCCUCCUCUCUCUCUACCCUAGGUUGUCCUACGUGCCUUUGGUCUUCACCGAGCGUGGUGUCCACUGUCUAGCACGAGGAAGGAAGGAGGAAGAUGAAGAGGAGAGGCCCGGACUGCGGAAAAGAUGAAAAAUGGAUUGGGCUAGCUCGUGUGAGGGAAAAGAAGAAAAGAGGGGAAAAGAGGGAAAAUGGUCCGAUAUCGCUAGGGUUUGUUUUAGUAUAUAUUUUUUAAUAUUAAAUAUUAAUCGGUCCGGUCCGGGUGGGCGGGUGGGCAGAUCCGCCCAUGGAAUUGGGAACCGGACCGGUACCCACCAGUUCCCAUAAAUUGGAACCGGGAACCGGACCGGUUCCCUCAAGAACCACCGGUUCCGAGGGUUCCGAUCCGGUUUCGGGCUAUCCGAGCGGUUCCUGGGUAUUUUGCACACCCUUACCAGCAGCUACGAUCGGACGACCUGAGGACAGAAUCACAGCAGGAACGGUGGCUUCUACCGUCUGGUUGCAGCGGCGAUGGAGCAAAGGAGGACCUAGUAGCAGGGGCAUCGCGACUUUUGGCGCGAGCAGAGGCGGUGGGUCGCGAGCGGAGACAAGCUUGGCUCAGAUCUGCCUGCGUCGGGUAGUUGUGGCGGGCAAGAGUCAAAGCGGCAUUGGCGACAGGUAGAGGCAGAGCACGGCAGUGACGGGCGUCGAGCAGCAAGGGUUCGUGCGAGCGACGUCGGCGACUAGCGUCCAGCAACGAUGGCCUUGAGGGCGAGCGGCGUCCGGCGGCGAAACUCAAAGCGGCGUCUAAUAGCGUGAGUUCUCUCCCAUAAAUCUGAAAGUCUGGACUCGGGAGCGCCGAGCAGGGGAGGGGGGCUCCUUUUUGAACCCUAACUAACCAGUUCCGGUUCCGGUUCCGAUUCUGCGACUGAUUCCGGUUCCGGUUCCACGACCGGUUCCAAUUCCAAUUCCCAGAAAAAAGGAACCGAGAACCAGAAUCUAGGAACCGGAACCGGUCCUUUAAGAAACCGAAAACCGAACCAGAACAGUGCUCACCUAUAGCUGCAACCCUGCCGGCCUCUCUUUAGCUUGUUGUUGGCCUCUUGUAGCCACAUGCAACCACACCGAUUGACCCCAAUGGAGAAAAAGAUGAACAAGCACAAACAAGGGUCAAACUGGAAAAAAAAAACGAUCAGCGUGGAUAGUUUUGGAAGAUUUUUUUUUUUUAACAAACCCUAGGCUUCUUGCAUGCCGAGAAGGCCGACUUUUCCUCAAGGUGGGUGUCAAGAAUUUUACCAAACACCCAAUAUUUGAUCCGAAGAGAUAUGGAUGCCUAAAGUCCCUUCCCAAAGUCUUUUCUAGACGCAACCUUAAUAACUAGCCCCACACAAGUUAUAAAACCGGGUCCUUUGCGCAUGGUCUUGUAUGCCGAGACUCAGACGUUCCGGCCGUUCAAUAGGACCGAGGCAUCGUGCGACCUUUCUGCCUAAUGAACGAAUAGAUUAACACAAUCUUGUUUGAUGUUGUUUGAGGCGGGAUUAAGGUCGACGGGUAGCACGCAGUGACAGGGGUUAUAAACUUGCACCUGGCCAAUUUCCCCGUCCCUGCGGACGAGCACCAGGAGAUCUUGGAAGACGCUCGAGUUGCCACUAGACCGAACAAUGUUGAUUUGAACCGGAUCGUGCAUUUUCGUGUCGCUGUCUCUGCAUUCGUUUGAAGACCUGUCAAGCAGUAUCACUUCUCCGGCGAGAUGGUUGGAUGAGCCGACGGAGAUGCUUACGUUUGGUGAGUCAAAGAGGACGUAUGUUCAAUCAAACUGGAGGAAUUUGAAGACGAUUCUUCGUUUGUUCGCAUGCCUUUCAAGCACGUCUUCCGUAGGGAGUGUAUGGCUGAGUGCUACGAGAGGAGAAACUUAAUACUUAUGUCCACUUCGCUGCCCCGAAGCUAUGCACACUUAUUAGCUAAUUAAUUCUAUUUGUUUAUCCCCUACAUUCACAGUUAAUAGGGAAAAUGAUAAUUACAAGCGCCUUUGAACCGAGUAGAGAUGUACAUUUCUUGUAUAAUAAUUUCAUUGCAAGCCAGACUUUUUCACUCUUUUUGCUCAUUUCUUUUACUGAUUACAUGUUCGCAUCGUUGGGAAGUACUAUGAUUCCGCAAGAUGUUUCAAAUAUAUGCCUUUUUCCAUAGAAUGCAUAUCCAUCGGCCAUCAGUACAUGAAGGUAUCUAUAAAUACUAAACAGGGGCAGUAUCAUCUUCCUUGACGUAUAGAGAGCUCGGAGCUUUAUUAUUCACACGCUUUCCCUUACAUAGUGCACUAGCUAGGAGGAGCAACAUAUGGCACUUCAGUAGUUUUCUAGUUUUUUCGGGGUAUUUUACUUUCUUCUUUCUGUCGGCCGUCGUGACAAUGCUACUUCCCAUGAUCACUGGGGCCGCCAUGGCUGCCAUGCCCACGCCCUCUGGUCAUCGUCGUCAUCGUCAUUGUCAUCGUCGUCGUCAUCAUCAUCGUCACCGUCGUCGUCAUCAUCAUCAUCAUCAUCAUCAUGGUCGUCGACGUCGCGAUGGACAGAAGCACUACGGCUGUACCCCUUCCCAAGACUACCGUGGCCUUUCCCGAGCCCAUAUUCCUUCAUGCUCUCUUACAUGCGCACAAAAAUUCAACAGAUUAUAUAUAUAUAUAUAUAUAUAUGAAGUAUGUAUACAGAGAAGAUAGAUGAAGUAGUGUGGAAACUUACGAGAUGAAUUAGUCUCCUCGANNNNNNNNNNNNNNNNNNNNNNNNNNNNNNNNNNNNNNNNNNNNNNNNNNNNNNNNNNNNNNNNNNNNNNNNNNNNNNNNNNNNNNNNNNNNNNNNNNNNUGGGCGUUGCGAGGCCAAGCUCCGCCUGGCCAAGCGGGCCUCCACCUAGCCACGACGAGCUCGCCGGACGAUCCAGCGACCGGCAGCGGCGUACGGUGGGGGACCGCCGGCGGACGGUGCGGACGGUGCGGCGGGAUGGCGAUCAAUGGCGGCGGGACAGCGAUCGAUGAAGAAGAAGAAAAGAGAAGAAGAGAGAAUAUAAGAAUAAAAAGAGUUGGUUUUGAUUCUUUGAUUUGUUUACGGAACAAGAAUCAACUUUCUUUUUUAUUCUUGAUUCUGUGCCAAAUAUACUUUCGGGAACAAAAAAAUAGAAAUUUGUUCCCGGGAACAAAAAAUUUACCAAACGCGAUUCUAUUCAAAAACUAUUCCUGAAAACAAAAAAUCAGAAUCGGGUACUAUUUGGAUGAUUACCAAACAGCCCCUAAGUAGUUUAAUAUUGUGCAGCAAGCAGCUUUGAUGCGCCACCAUCAAAGCUCAACUUUAGUCCUUGUUCUGAUUUGACUGUCUGACUCACAUGAUUUAUGCCCGGACAUACCAAGGCCAGUCGAAUGUUAUACCACGUUUGGCGCAAUGAAAUAGAACGGGAAAAAAUAAAACGAAGUUGAGGAAGGAAUGGAAUAGAAGAAGCAUUAUAAUUCUUGUAGUUGCUUGUUACGAUGGAAUAAGGUAAAAGGAAUUUGUUGAUUCCUUUUUUUGGGUUGAAAAAAAUUGAAAUGGAAGGAAAUGGUAUCAAAAUGUCUAAAAUAUCUCAAAAAUGUAAUAUAUGAGGAAGAAAAUAAGGGAAGCGCUCAAAGUAAUUGUUGUGAUGAUGUUAUUAUUAUCAAGGUCAUUUUCAUGGUGGAGCCUUGAAGUGGGCAUUUUUCCUCCUUAUUUGGUGGAAUGCUCAUGUUAUGCAAGGAGGUUAUGCUCAGGGUCAAAGAGGUUAGCUUGCGAUAUACGAAACAACAAUAGACAGCAAAUAAAAAUGACAUAUCAAGAAAACAGUCGCCAAUAAAUGAGCAAUAUAGAUCGGCCUUAGUAGCAGGAUUGUUCGUAAGUACUUAUGGAUAGAGAAAGUAGCAGUAGGACGGAUGAUCACUUAUGUCAUCUAAACUUAGACUUUUCCAGUCUUGGUUAGCUGUCAACACAUUCAAUUGUGUCCUCUCUCCUUCAAUUGGGUUGAGUUGCAUAUAAAGUUUACUCUUAUUUUAUGAUAAUAACAAUUCAUGUUUCGAAGUUAAUUACUGUAUGGCUUUCUUAAUACUCCUGUUAUGAAUAUGCAUUCUAAAUCUUUCAGAAUAAAUAAUAGGGGAAAUGUAAUUACGCUCAAAAUAAAUAUUCAUAUUGGAAUAAUUUUGUUCUAUCGAACACAAUCUCAUUUGAACAACAUGAGACAAAACACGAAUUGUAGAAAGACAAAUCCGAAUGCAAUAUAACACGGUACACAAUUUCAUAUAUUAAUAAGAAUUAAUGUAUAUAACAAUUUUUCAUCCUAAUUCAAUUAUUCAAUAUUGGUGGAGGAAAUUACGAGAAUUGCUUCCAAUUAUUGAAUGCCAAUAUUUUCUCACCAGUUAGGCCCAACCGUACCACUUUCCCUUCACAUGGCUAGUACUUCUAGUUCUUAAUGAAAAGACGCAAACCAAGAACGGAUUUGCCUAUUCAUCCCGCAUAGACAGACAUCAUCAAGUUUUUUAUGGUCGAAAGACAUCAUCAAGUUAAGACGCACCAUACCUUAAGGAAAGAGAGGGGGAGCGCCUAGCAUAAGAGAGAUAGGGAAAAUGGAAGAGGAAGCACGGAACUUCAUCAACGUGUGGCUCACGGUCCUCUCGUGCGUGUGCUACUGCUACUUCGUCUCCUCUAGCCUCCCGCCGGGCAAGCUCCAGCUCUUCUCUCUCCUCCCCGUCUUCUCCCUCUUCGCCGCGCUCCCCCUCCAGCUCUCCACUGUCCUCCCCACUGGCAUCACCUCCUUCUUCAUCACUUGGCUCGCCUCCUUCAAGCUCCUCCUCUUCUCCUUCGGCAAGGGCCCCCUCUCCUCCAGUCUCGAUUCCCAUCCCGACCCAUCGAAGUCCCUCUUCCUCUUCAUACUCUUCACAUGCUUCCCUAUCAAAAUCAAGCAAGCGCAAGACUACCCUGUUGGAUGCAAAUCGCGCAAUCCCAAGAUCUCCAUAACCAGAACAAGAACAUACAUAAUUGAGUAAAAAGAUUAACAUAUCUAUUUUGGGAUCCAUCAUUCUUGAAGCGGAAGUGGAAACACAAUGUUCCACGCGCAAGUCAUUCUCCUCUAUUGCCCUCCAUAUCACUAGCUCAAUGAGGCGGUCCCCUCACGUUUAGCGUUAGGUAAACACUCAUUAGAUGAUGAUACAUAUGAGAAUUAGGGUUAGAUGAGAGACUUGAACACUAUUCAUAAUCUUUCUUUGAAAUCCUUUUAGUUUUGUAUGCCAAUUUGCAACUAAUGAACUUGUAAUCUUUAGGCAAGUUAGUAAGUUUCCAAACAUUGUGAUGUUUCAUAGAUUGUAUAUCGUCUUUUAUGGUAUUUAAUCACAUACUUGAUUGAGGAUAAGAAACAACAUUUAUUUAUGUUGCUAAAUCAACCAUGUAGUGGAUAUUGUAGUCAUGCUCUCACAAAUAGACUAUAUAAUCUAUCGAAAUAACCUAUCAUCUUUUCCUAACAAAUCUCCUGAGUAAAGCUACAACCACUCCAUUAUAUACUUGAGAGGUUUAAAAAAAAAAUUCAUCAUAAAUUAUAUCAAGAAUAGUACCUUAAACCUCAACAAGUUUAGUCUAUGAUACAGGAGAUUCCAUAAUUGUCUGUACCACAAUUAUCUGUAUAGGCAAAGACAAAGACAUAGUGAUUUUUUAUCGUACUAUUAUCCUUAAUAAUCUGAGAGCAGCUAUCAUUUACAAUUACGUCGAAUUGUAGAAACUUUACAGUAUGUGAUUCCAUAAUACUUGUACCUUCUUUAGGGUCAUAAAAUUGAUAUCCAUUUUAACAAUCUUGGUAAGAUACAAAAUAAUUCUUAGUGGAUCUAAAUUCCAAUGCCAUUGCACCUCUAAAUUUCAUAUAUAUCUAGUUUAUAACUCAAAAAAAGUUUAUGAAACAACUUUUGUAUGUGAAAAGGUUGCUUUCAAAAUAUCAGCCCAUAGAAGAUCAGAUAAAUUAGUCUUACUAAUCAUACUCAUCACCAUAUUCAAUAUGGUGCAUUCAUGCCUUUUGGCCAAAUCUUUUUGUCAGGAUUUUCAAGCAUAGUAAUUAAGUUACCACCCUAGAAUCUACCAAAUAUUUGACAAAUGACCCUUUAAGCUAUUUCACAUUGUUAUACUUGUCAAAAUACUCACGGCCACUAUUAAGCCUGACAACCUUUUAAGACUAAUUGUAAUUAUUUUAUUCUUUAUCUCGAUAAUUUUACUUCCACAAUAAUCUAUAGAAGUCUAUAGAUAACCGUUAAAAGUAGACAGAAUAUCAACAUUGUCAACUUUUCUACUCUUUCUUUAGACAUGUGUGAGAUUAUUCCUUAAAUAGAAAAUUUUCGGAAACAACCUCUUUAACCGUAUACGAGAUGUAUAUGUCAUUAGGACUUAAACAUAAUCUUUGCAAAUGUGUCCUAAAUUCAAUAUUAGACAAAACAUAAUUACAAGCCACUAAGGCUUCCAUCGUCUUAUAGCAGUGCAGUUCACAAGCAUACCACAUUUUAAGUUUCCUGAAUGGAAUGCUUCAUGGACAGUAAGCAAAUUUUAUUACUCUUUUCCCAAGCAGCAAAUCAUAUGUCCACUACUUAAAAUUUGAAGUAAUAAAAAUCUCAAUAAUAAUAGAGUUAUUAAUUACAGAAAAUGUGACUGAAAAAACAAGUAAUGUAUAUAAUUAGCAUCAUGUGAGUACCGUAUAACUUGAUAUACAAGUACACAUCUAGAGAGUUACACGCAUAAUCAUAUAAUCACAUUUGAGCAGAAUACAUAACAUGCAGUUGUACACUCCCCACGUGAAAGCAGUUAUGAGAAUAUAUUCUAAUUUUUGUUAAUUCAUCACCUUUGGACGUAUGAACCACAAGAAUCAGUCACUCCUCCACCACACCAUCAUGCAUCCCUCCGUGAACUAAUAAUACACAAUCACCUCAUUUGAGAGUAUGACAAUGCAUUAAAUUAGGAGACAUCUCAAUUAUUAUACGAGACCGAUAUUUCUCAAAUCCAAUCAAGCGUGCCACUUUGGUGGUCACUACUCAAUUGAAUCCUUAAAACUCUCUCAUACCAAGGAUAUAAACUUUACUUCUCACAUACACCAUAUACAUGUGAUUUUAACUUUAAUUAUAUGGGCAGCAUAUCACUAAAAUCCCAUAUGAUGCUAAUCACACUGCCUUAUUCAUUAAUAAAAAUUAAUCAUAUACAUAUAUAUAUAACCUGAAAGACAGACUCCAAUGAGAUCACCAAUUACAGCAACACAAGAAACUUCUCAUAACAUAGAAGCAAGCAUCUCUUGUGCACCCCGAUUAUAGAUUACCAGAACAAUAUAAAAAGAAUGCUGAUCCAGAGAAUCUAUCAAAAUUUAACAUCAAUAGCAAUAUAGGAUACCACAGAUCGACAAGCCUAACAACUGAUCAACUAUUGCUUAUGAGUUUCAUAAGGCAAAAAAUGAAUCCAAGGCCAACAACUAAUUUAUUAGCCAAUUUUUUUUUUAAGUAACAAAUUAUCAUUGUAAUCAACUAGUCGCCUAUUAAUUAAGUCAAACCAGAGAACCAAAUAUCUAAACCUUUAACAGUAGAUACUAUUACUCUGUGUAAAUGUUAUCAUACUCCUAAUCAAUAAAAAAUAUUCAACUUAAUGGACAUUAACCAAUGACCAGAUGAGUUUAGAUACAAUAUGUAAUGACUUAAUUGAUAUGCCAUACCCACAUUCAGCAGAUGUGUUAAUUAGUACAAUCAGUUUGGUCAUAGGUUCUUAAGACGUCCAUCAUUCAAAGGUUACCAGCAUGUAAAGGAGUAUGCAUGAGUAACCAAAAGUUUCAUAACCUUUUACCAUUUCUCAUCACUUCAAUACAUAAUUCAAUUACUAUCCUAUAAUGGUUGUAUCUCAUUAAGCCAGCUUCAAUUCACAAUAAAGUUUAAUUUUUAUUAAUUAAUCACACAAUUAUAAUGUUUAUGUGAUAACAUACUUGUAACCCAAUACUUGUAUUUCCAAAAUCAUAGAAAAUACAAGAAAAAUAUGCAAAAAUACACUAAAAAUACACGUAUUUAGGGCUUUGUAUGUAUUUUCACAUCCAUAAAAUCAUCAAACGUAUAAAAUAAAUACACCACAAGAUAGAAAAUGAACAUACGAAUCCAACGCAGCCAACCAUGCGCCGAUCCGAUGCUCCACGCGCUUGCACGCACCACCUAAGUGCAUGGCGCAUGGAGCCCACAAGCGAGCGUAUCUUAACCGGUCAAAACUAGUCCAACCGGUAGCGGUCAGACCGGUUCCCGGUUCGACUAGUUGAUCGGUUCGGUCAACUGUUGACCGGGUCGAGUCGGGUCAACAAGUUGGGUCGGGUCGGGUUGGCCGCCAAUCGGUCCGAUCGCUGAUGUCACUAUGGCGUCAGCAUACGCGCGUGUGUCGCACGUGCAAGCCGUGCCCCACGUGUGAGGGCGCGUGACCGCGCGUGGGGCGCGUCUCCUACACCCUGACAGAGCGUGGCCGCGCGUGAGGGCGUGUGCGGAGUCCUCCGGCGAUGCGCCACCCACGAAUCUGCUCAUCUCGUCGAGCCCAGUCCGAAUUUGUGAUUUAAUUUUAUUUUUAUUGAACAAAAAAUCACGAAAAUCACAAAUUAUGGCAAAAAUUUUAUGUAUUCGAGUUCUAGGAUUAUGGUUACUCUGAUACCACAUGUUGGAUGCAAAUCGCACAAUCCCAAGAUCUCCAUAACCAUAACAAGAACAUGCAUAAUUGAGUAGAAAGAUUAACGCACCUAUUUUGGGAUCCAUCAUUCUUGAAGUGGAAGCGGAAACACAAUAUUCCACACGCAAGUCAUUCUCCUCUAUUGCCCUCCGUAUCAUUGGCUCAAUGAGGCAAUCCCCUCAUGUUUAGCAUUAGGUAAAUGCUCCUUAUGUGAUGAUAUAUGUGAGAAUUAGGGUUAGAGGAGAGAUUUGAGCACUAUUUAUAGAGUUUCCAGCCAGGCCCCCUCAUUACGGGCCAAGCUCAACUCAGCCCACACUAGACAGCCCCAUAUUAGACUAAUUAAGAAAUAUUCUAUCUCAUCUUAGAUCAACCCUGUUUUACGGUAAUUAUAAAAAAAUAAAUUAUAAUAUCAAUUAAUAUAAUCCACAUUAGGAAAACUCUUACAUACCCAUCUCUCCAAACCCCCAAAUUGCCCCUCAAUUUGCCAUCAAAACUGCUCCUUUGCUGGAUCUCAAUCCUUGUGUACGAUCACCAGGACAAGCUGCUAUUGCAGGUUGGGCAUGUUUAUUUGGUUUCCCGUGUCGAAUUCGAAUAAGAAUUGAGGUCGAUGUUGAUGUCUAUUCAUGUUACUGCGAGAGUUUGUUUAUUUUCAUGGGUUCUGUUAUUUUCGAAUUAGUUGCAAUUGACUUCUUUUCAUUCGUGUUGGAAUCGGGGAACUGUGCUUGUAGGGGCACCCAAAGUGGGUCCUGCUUCUCUAUUCAUGCAUGCUUUAUCUCUACGUCGACAUGAUUGUGGGGCUGAGCAACGCCGCCGCGUGCCGUCCUCAGCAUCGAGCUUCAGAUGCCCUCCGACGAGCCCUACCUUUCCACAUCAUUCCAAGAUUUCUGGGGCCGAAGGUGGAACCUCACCGUGACCAACGCCCUGCGGCACACCGUGCACAAGCCCCUAAAGUCGUUCCUCGAACCGCACUUGCAGGCCACGUGGGCGACGGCGGCUGCGGUCAUGGCGGCGUUCCUCAUGUCCGGGCUGAUAUGACGUGACACGUGCGAGGCCUACUUGGGAGGUGACGGGGUUCUUCGUGCUGCAGGGGGCAUGCGUGGUGGUGGAGGUGGCGGCGAAGGCGGCGGUGGGGGAGAGGUGGAGGCUGAGCAAGGCGGUGUUGACACCACUAACGGUGGGGUUCAUGGCGGCGACCGCCAUGUGGCUAUUCUUCCCGCAACUGAUCAGGAACGAGGCGGACGCGAGAGCCAUUAAAGAGUGCAAGGCUUUCGUGGAGGGGCUGAGGCCCAAGUUCUGACACGCGGUACGAGGCAUUUGGGGUAAAUUUAACGUGCACAACGUUGUUCUUACGAAAUCGGUUAAUCACAUUUAAAAAAAUUUCAAAGCUAACAUUGGGUCCUCAAUUACUAGGAAAAAAAAUUGACAUUGGUCUUUAAGAAAACACAUUCUUUAGUCUAUGUAUAUGUUUUUCAUAAUGUAAUUAAUUAUAUCUGACUUUCACUACAUUCGCAUUCAAUGAAUCGGUACAAAAAUUAACCCAAAUAGUUGCUCAUCAUAAUCUUUUUUGUUACUCAUUAUUCUAUUGGUCAGGAUAAUGAAUGCGGUCCUUAAUUCCCAAUGAUGUUUUUCUUUUGUCUAUUGGUUGUGCAAUUAGACCUACCUAGAAGAUUAUAUAAUUGUCUUAAUGUGGUGCGGCAUUGUUAUCAUAUGUAUAGAAAUACAAUUUGCUCUUCGACCAUGCAAAUUCCAACUCUCACUAAUAAAAAAAUUGCCCUUUGAAGCUCGAUAAAAUUACAUUCCUACUGUCAUGAGUUUUCAGACAACCUUUUUGCUCCAUUUUGUCGGAGAUUGUAUCGUUACUCUUUCAAAUAAUGUUAUACUAGGAUCAGUCUACUAUAACAUGAAGACAUCAAGUUGUUAUGCUUAGAAUCGUCGGAUCAUCACAAUUAAUUUUCAGCCAUUGAUCAUUAACGGUUGAGAGUCAUUAUUGGAGAUGCCUCACAGCAUAAUAGCCUAGUUCAUAUAACUAGGUUGUCAAGAAAUUUGUUGAACUAGAAUUUAGGUUCAGAGAAUGUUUAUGCUCCAUGGUAGAUGCUCAUUCCUUUAGAGCGACGCAAAAUUGAAUAAAAAGUGAGGACGUAAUUACAAACAGCUUAAGUUAGGGGACUGCGCAAAUAAAAUCAAAUCUGAGGACUCAAUAGAAAAAAGAGUGCAAGUUGCAACGAUCCAAAAGUGGUACUCUUUUGGGAAAACUCCAUCUCAACUUUAUUCCCGAUAUCGUCCUGCAUUUGUCCCUUUAUUCUUCCUCUUUUUUUGUUUUUAUCAAAUAUUUCCCUCACUUUAGAGUCCUCCAAUUUGCACUUUAAUUUUCGUUAACAGAUUUCGAUUGGGCCAAAAUGCCACUACUCUUUAAAAAGUGCCAAACGUACUUUCUAAGCCCACCUCGAUCUUCUUUGAUUGAGAGAAGGUAACAUACGGCACAGUAUUCAAUGGUUAGGCAGCAUGACAUCAUAAGCUAACUUUAGCAUUAAUUUUUUUUUUCAAAUCCAAUAAAAAUUGAUACUUGUUCAUGACGCGGCACAUAAAUGAAAACAUCUUUCUCUGGUCGCAACAGUGGGGGAAUCUCUCUUUCUUUGCCCUGUUCUGUUGCAGCAAAUGGACGAGCCGCAACAAAGUGAGUGGCUUGGCCAUGGACGGCAACGACUGCGAGCCACCGCAAUGACAAUGGGAUGGCUGGGCCAUGGAUGUGCGGUAGUGGUCGGCUUGGAUGCAGUGCCGGCGACUCUGCUGGUGACUCUGAUGGAGGGAGUGGCCGUGGAUGGAGAAUGAAGAAGAGACCAACAAAGAAGGGCUGGUUUUUAAUUCUUUUAUUUGUUUGCCACGUCAUAGACAUGUCAAUUAUUCAUUGGAUUUCAGUACAAAAAUGCAUGCCACAUCAGCUUAUGAUGCGAUUUUAACUAACCACCGAAUAAUUUCUAGCAAUUUAUCAAAAAUUAUAGAAAUAGCUUAGAGUGUGUUUGAUUGGAUUUCUAGGGAAAAUUUUGGGAAAAUGCAAAAGAUUUUAAGUUAAAAAAGUUUUCAAAAAUGAAAAUUAUGUUUGUUAAAUUAUAAUUUAAAAAUCCAUUGUGAAGUACUUUUGAGUAAAAUAGUACUUGGAUAAGGAUUUUAAUUAUUUAAAAAAAGAAAAAAAACAAUUGGCCCUUUGCCGACUAAGGGUAGGCCAUCGCCGACUAAGGGCAAGCCAUCGCCGAUAAUCCAGAUCUAUUGUCGAUAACCGUCGUCUAAGGUCACAAGACCUCAAAUAGCUCCUGGAGACCAUUGGCAAGGGCCACUUCGGGUCGAGUGACCCUAGUGCGGGUCAUGUGCUACUAGGAGUCAUGUGACCUACGUAACCCCUUACAACUUCAAAAGUCACUCGAACCAGACGAGGGCUAGCUGGGUCAUGCGACCUUCAUAGUCGUAACAACUUGCAUAACUCGUUACAGCUCGGAAGGUCACUCGAAUCCAACAAGGGCCAGUUGGGUCUUGUGACCUACGUAACCCCUUACAGCUUCAAAGGUCACUCCAACUCAAUGAGGGCUAGCUAAUUCGCGCAACCCUCGCUAGGGGUCACUUGACCCCAACAAGGGCUAGUUGGGUUUCUUAACCCCAAGUAGCCCCUUGCCGAGGUCAUGUGACCACCGAGGGUUGUCUGCCAUCUAGAUCAGGCGACCUCGUCCAACCAUGUGAGGGUCGUGCAACCUAGAUGAUACUCGCCUACACGGUCGCUUGGGUCGCUGCGACUAGGGAUGAGCAAUUCCAGGUUCCGAUUCGGUUCCGUCUAGAACCUGGAACCUACCCUCAGGUACAGGUUCCUCAUUUUUUGAAACCUGAAACCUACCCUCGGGUACAAGUUCCUCAUUUUUUGGAACUUGGAACCUACCCGUCAGAAUCAAGAACUGGAACCUACCCUGUCACAAGUUCCAGGGUCAGUUCCAGGUUCCUACAUGUUUUUUUUUUUCAUUUUUAGAUUUGAACUACAAUGUACGCGCUUUACCCAAAAAAAAAAAAAAACUAUAACGUACGCGCAUACUCUACGAUAACUUCCCACAUCUUAGCAAACAUAGUACAUACCAAUGCCAACUGCCAAGAAUUUGGACAUACAUAAUCAAAAUCAAUAAGAAGUUUCCAAAGAGGAAAGGAGGGGCUUGAUUAACUAUAAUUAUUGUGCCCACAUAUGUCAAUAUAUGUACACUAAAGCUUAAAUGUCAUAUGCCUUAUCAACUGAGUUAAAUGAAAAUGAUUAAGCAAAAUAUACUAAGGAGAUGAAAAACUAGAAGUACCAACAAGAUGAUGAAGCACAUGAAAAUGAUGGAGCAAAAUAUAUUAAGGAGAUGAAAAACCAGUUUUGCCAACAAGAUUUCAAAUUUUCAUCCACUCCAUAGUGUGAACUUCGCAACAUUUCCCUAUAAUUCCUUUGGCACAGCAAAACCCUACAAAGACAUGGAUGAAAAUCAGUCAAAAUCCUAAGUAAAGACACAUCCAAAAAUCAAUAUCGAUAAUACUCCAUGAAGCAUGUCAUUUUACCCAUCUAAAGUCUCCUAAAUUCUUUGACAACAUAGUUCAAAAAUUCAAUGUACAUAAGAGUAGCCUGCAUUAAGAUUACGAUAAACAAAGUUGCUCAUCAAUCAACUUCUGCACAGUUAAAGCAGCACAAAGCCAACAAAAAACCUUGCUUGACUUCUCAACCGCUGGACCCAUUACAAAUGUGACACCACCAACUCUAUUUAUCGACGAUAAUCUUCGCAUUAAGACCAACCAUAUCUGAAAAAGAAGAAGAAGAAGAGGUUAAAUAAAAUAUUCACUUAUCAGAUAUACAAAAAGAAUUACAAUAUAUAAAGAUAUAAACAUUACUUACCCAACUAAAAUUGUUCCGCAUUCUCGAUACACUCUUCAACAUCAAGCGGUACACGAACGGCUCUCAACCAAUCUUGAGUGCAAAUCAAAGCUUCCACUACUUUGGGAGUUAAAGAACUUCGAAAGCCAUCAAGCACACGACCCGAUGUACUAAAAGUUGACUCUGAAGCAAUGUUAGUUACAAGAAUUGACAAAAUAUCUCAAGCCAUCAAAAUGAUCUUAUAUUUUGAGCCAUUAGUCUUCCACCAAAUCAAAAUGUCAAGACCAAGAUCCUUUUCAUUUUUUCUUGAAAAUACUCAUCAAGCUCGAACUUGUUGUUAUUGCACCCUUGUUCAUUCAAGUAUAAAAACAUUUUCUUCCAAGCUUGGCCGUCAUAUUUCUUUAUUCCUUCAUUACCACCCAUAUUGGUAUUGGAAUUGGAACUACUACUACUUGCACCCAAAUUAUGGUCACCAAAAUCUUGAUCACUUGAAAUAAGAUAAGAUUGUUCAUAAAAUUCAUACAAACGCUCCAAUGCAUCAUUUACCUUAUAAUGCAUCUCUUUAAUUUUUUAUUCAUCAUCAUAAAUUUGUCCAUACAAGAAACUCACAUAAUUUAACUUGACUCUAGGAUCUAACACAACGCAAUCAACACCAUCAUAUUCACUUUAUUCAAGCUUUCAUAAUAUUUGUCAAAUUUUUCUUUCAUUUUCACACACAUCGCUUGAAGCUUAAGAUCCGAAGCAUUGACCGCAUCUUUCAAAUAUCUAUACAAAAGAGCUAUCCCUUCAAAAUAAUCAUUUGAAGUAACAUAUGAUGUCCCAGACAUCUUAUUGGUGGCAUCAUAGAAUACUUUUAGAAAAUCCGAAAGAAUAAUAGCAUUUUCUCAAUCAUCAUCACGAAGAGUUUCAUGAUUAAGCUCACUUACAAAAGAUAAAUCGUGAUCUUCCAUUCUUUCGAAAGUUUUUCUAAACUUUAUGGUGGUGUCUAACAUGAGGUAAGUGAAGUCUCAUCUAGUGGCAACGUCAAGAACUACUGAACCCUUAUAAGUAAUCUUUUUCUCUCUCAAUGCAAGAUUGAAAUCAUUAGGCUCUCGUGGGAGAACUCCUUACAUACCUAACCACAUUUCGGAUACGUGCAAUAGAGUCAAGUACCGUAGUCAAUCCAUCUUUCACGAUCAAAUUUAAUAUAUGAGUUGUACACCUCAUGUGCAAAAUACUAUCAUCUAAUAUCAACGAUCUUUGUUUUGAAAAAAUUUCCCUCAAAUAGCUAAUUGCAACAUCAUUGAAGCUAGCAUUAUCCACGGUAAUUGUGGAUAUCUUUUUUUUUUCUAUUUCUCACUCCUCAAUGCAUUUCUCCACCAUUUUCCCAAUCUCCUUACCCCUAUGACUAUGCAUCACCACAAAGUUGAUGAUUCUUUUAUGCAACUUCCAAUUUUCAUCAAUAAAAUGUGCAGUGAAACACAAAUAAUUCAGAUUUUGAUUGAAACUCCAUGUAUUAAUCGUGAGUGCGAUCCUAGAAUUAAUCUUUCCAAAAUAAUUCUUCAAAGAAGUUAUUUUACAUAAAAACAACUUCAUGCAAUCCUUUGCUACUGUGAAACGUAAUACAUAUUUGAAGAGAGGUUGUAACUCAGUAACAUAUUCAUGAAAUCCAACACGCUCAACCAAAGAAAAAAGUUUGCUCAUCAAGGAUGAUGAACCAAGUAAGCAUGUGCCUACAACGUUCUUGAUUAAAUGACCAUAUCAAUAAGAAGCUACCAGUACUAGAAUCUCCUCCUGCCUUGCCAGCCAUGUUGACAUUACGUGGUGCAAAGAAUUUCUGCAUCUUAUCUACAUUACGGGAAAACCUCUUAUAUGUGGUCAAGUGCUUCCUCAUUGCAAAAGUACCAUUAGCAACAUGGUACUUAAGCAUGAACCCACAAUGAAUGCACUUCACUUGAUAUAUUUUUCCAUCCUUAUCACUAAUUCUCGAAUAAUGAUUCCAGCAUUCGGAUAUAUAUUUCUUAUUAUGAGGAAGAUAAGAACUGGGUACCUUAUUUGUGGCACUCGAGGUAGAGAGUGCAUCUUCUUCAAUUUCAUCGCCAGAAAACUCCUAUUUCAUAAUCGGAGUCAUCUCCUCACAUCCCUCCACCUCUAUUGAUGUGUUAUCUUGAUAUAUUAAUUUCGCACUACACAACAAUAAUAGAAUAUAAUUAGACAUUUCAAAACAGAAUGUGAAUUGAGUUAUAGAAUAUGUAGGCAAUUGCUAAAAACCAAAUCAAUACACAACUUUCCCCUCAAAAAAACGCUCUUAAGUAUUGUAGACAUUAGCUUUUGCUAGAUGAUAAUAAUCUGUGUAUUUUCAUAGAUGAUAACUCGUGCGUAAAUGACACAAGCUAAAAGGAGUCCAAUUUGAUCAUGCAUAUAUCCAUUAUGUGGCACAUUGUUAUCAUUCUCUUAUAUUACCUCUGCAAUUAAGGACCAGCAAUCCAGAAAAGCCACCCAAAACAAAGAAGUUAAGCAUCUAGAUUGCCAAAAUUCAAAAACACCGGCUUCCCCAAAACAAAGAAUUGAUCAUAGCAGUUUCAUUAAGCAAGUAGUCAUAGACCACAGCUUGCAUUUCUUUUCUUGUUCCAUUAAAUUGUGAAGGCAGUGACAACUUUGCUUUAUGUAGAAGUACCAGCUUUACUUGAGCAGGUUACAGAAGGAAAAUGAACUGAAAAUUUCUAAUGGGGGGAUGAAGCAUUCAAAUCUAAACCCACAAGAUGCCGCCAUUGGCAUAAUGAUGCUAUCAGAACUCCAUCAAUUUGAAAUUGUCAGCAUAAUUAUAUGGUACAUUAGAACUCCAUCAAUUUCCAGCAAAAUGAUGCUACAAAAUACAAACGGCAACUCAAAAUUUGCUACCAACAACUUGCUUAUCCAGAAUUUGAACUCCAAACAAUGAAAUUGACACCAGAGGGACUAUAAUCAUUGAGCAAUCUGGUCUUAGAAAUUAGGAAUCAAUCACUCACUCCCUCCACUGGAGCAGGAAAUGAAAUUCAUAGCAUUUGAUGGUAUUACCCCGAGAUCGUACCCUUGGAGUGAAGUUCCAGAAAUCCAAUUUCACCGAGCGAGCAGCGUCCGGCGCUAAGCAGGGACGUCGGUCACUAGUCUUUGGGGCAACGACGUCAGGCAUCGCAACUGCUGGCGUUGGGUCGUCAGAGCAGAGGCGAAGACAGCAGUAGCGGCGUCGUAGGUAAGAAUUGGAAACCUAUGGUACGUUUGUUUGCGUUUCUGUUUAAAAAUUGUUCCAGGGAACAGAAAUAGAAAAAAGUGUUUCUGUUCCGGGGAACAAUUUUUGAACAAAAAAACGCGUUUGGUAAACUUGUUCCGGGAAUAAAAAAUAAACAGAAACACGUUUGGUAAAUUUGUAUAAUUUUUUUAUUUCUUUUAUUUUUUCUAUUUUUUUUCUUAUUUUUCCUUUUUUUCUUUUUUCUUUUUCCUUUUUUCUUUUUUCUUCUUUUGGCCGGUCGCCGGCCUCAGCCAUGGCCGGUGACCGGCCGACGAGGGCCGGCGGCCUAACCCAAUAACGGAUAAGGAUUGACGACACCUGCGAGAAACGAGCUCCAUUGUGAGGUUGGCCAUGUUUUUUGUAUGGAUUGAGGUUAGGUUUUGUUAGUGGUGGUUUGUUUUUGGGUUCGGGAGGCGUUAUUUUUUUAAUUUGAGUUUUUUUUUCGCAGGUUAAAGUUAUAUGGUCGCUUAUUGUUUCUUUCUUUUAUGUUUUUUAGGUCUUUUUUGUCGUUUUCUAAAAUAUCAUUAGUUGAUCUUUUGUUCUCUUCGUUUUGUUUUGACUUUAUGGAUGGGUGCUGUUUUGUGGUACUGANNNNNNNNNNNNNNNNNNNNNNNNNNNNNNNNNNNNNNNNNNNNNNNNNNNNNNNNNNNNNNNNNNNNNNNNNNNNNNNNNNNNNNNNNNNNNNNNNNNNGCCCAUGCCGAGGCCGGCGACCCGGCCGAAGAAAAAAGAGAAGAAAAUAAGAAGAAAAAGAAGAAGGAAAAUGGAAAAGUGUCCCUCAAAUGUGUUUCAGAAAUAAGAAACACAAAUUUGUUGUUUCUUAUUUCUGUUUCUUUUUUGUUCCUGGGAACAAAAGAACAAAAAAGGAACAGAAACGCACCCAAACGCGUUUCUGUUCCUUUUUUGUUCCCAGGAACAAAAAAACAGAAAAAGUGUUCAAAAACAAAAAAAAAAAAAAAAAGAAACACAAACAAACAGAGCCCUAGUGACCAGCAGCUACGAUCGGACGGCCUAAGGAUGGAAUCACGGCAGGAACGAUGGCUUCUGGCGUCUGGUUGCAGCGGCGGUGGAGCAAAGGAAGACCCAACAGCAUGGGUGUCGGGGCUUCUAGCGCGAGCAAGGACGUUGAUUGCUGGUCUUCGAGGCAACAACGACAGGCGUCGUGACUACUGGCAUCGGGUCGUCGGAGCAAAGGCGAAGACAGCAGCAGUGGCGUCGUGAGUCAGAAUUGGAAACCUAGUGACCAGCAGCUAGGGGUGUGCAUGGUCCAAGCGGGCGGUUCCCGACCUAGAACCGAGAAUCGCCCGCUAAGGACCGAUUCCGAAAAAUUGGAACCGGGAUCCGCUCAUUUGUUGCAUGGAUCCACCUGGGAACCGGACCACCGGUCCGGUCCAAUUCCAGGGUGGAUCCAUGGAGCCGAUCUAGAUGCGAAGGUGAGCUAUGGCGUCGUGGUGACGGGCGAGCGGACAAAGGGUGCUCGUGGUUGCUAGCGCGGUGGUCGGCGUGGUGUGGCGUCGCGAGUCACUAGGGUUUUGACGUAAGGCAGCGGACAAGCUCGAUAGAUCGGGCUACGUCCGUUCGCCUCGCGCAACUCCAAGCCAAGAUCCUUGGGAAACCGACCCCAUAUCGGAAAAGUCGAGAACAAAGGGGGACGAAAUCUACCGUGAUUUUGUCGCGAAAGAGAAGUCGAGGUGGGUCGUCGGCUACGGUUCAAGUGUGGUGGUUAACGGCGACUCUCUCCCUCACACUCUACCCUUACUCGCAGCUCUCAGAUCUCACUCGAUCUCCCCCUCUCUUUUUAACGUCUCACAGAUCUCUCUCUCUCUCUCUCUCUCUCUCUCUCUCUCUCUCUCUCUCUCACAUCAUCUCUACUUGACCCCCCUUCAUCGAGCUCCAUGAGGCCCUAUUUAUAGGCUGAAGGGUCAGGUCGACAAGGGCAUUUCCACUACCGAUCCUGGGCACGCCGACCAGCCUCCCUCUUGGCCGAACCGGUGUCUCAGCCCGUCUUCUCUGCAUAGGCCUGCUCGACAUCGAAGGCGUCCGCCAAGACAUCCCCUCCGUCCGGGUUUCUCGCCAGAUCUCGCGCUACUCCAUUCGGCAGCAUUGAUGGCUCCUAUGAGGCGUCCCCUCCGUCGUCGAUCUACCCUCCUCUCUCUCUGCCCUAGGUCGUCCUACGUGCCUUUAGUCUUCACCGAGCGUGGUGUCCACUGUCCAGCACGAGGAAGGAAGAAGGAAGAAGAAGAGGAGAGGGCCAGACCGCAAAAAAGAUGAAAAAUGGAUUGGGCCAGCCCGCGUGAGGGAAAAGAAGAAAAGAGGGGAAAAGAGGGAAAAUGGUCCGGUAUUGCUAGGGUUUGUUUUAGUAUAUUUUUUUAAUAUUAAAUAUUAAUCGGUUCGGUCCGGGUGGGCGGGUGGACGGAUCCGCCCAUGGAAUUGGGAACUGGACCGAUACCCACCGGUUCCCAUAAAUUGGAACCGGGAACCGGACCGGUUCCCUCAAGAACCACUGGUUCCGAGGGUUCCGAUCUGGUUUCGGGCGGUCCGGGGUUCCUGGGUAUUUUGCACACCCCUACCAACAGCUACGAUCGGACAGCCUGAGGACGGAAUCGCAGCAGGCACGAUGGCUUCUACCGUCUGGUUGCAGCGGCAGUGGAGCAAAGGAGGACCCAGCAGCAAGGGUGUCGCGAAUUCUGGCGCGAGCAAAGGCAGUGGGUCGCGAGCGGAGACGAGCUCGGCUCAAAUCUGCCUACGUCAGGUAGUUGCGGCGAGCAAGAGUCAGAGCAGCAUUGGCGACAGGCAGAGGCAAAGCACGGCAGCAACGGGCGUAAGGAAUUCUCUUAUCUUACGCAACAGUUCAUUGUUUUAAGAUGGUCUCAUCGCUUUUACGUUUUUGUCACUUCAUCCGCAGUGAUUGGAGCAAUUCUUUUCAUGCUUUGAUUGGUAUCACACGAAACAUAUACAUACAACUAUACAAGUAAAGCACCUUGGAGUCUGUGGAGAAAGUUAUACGACUUGAUUCAGUCAAAAUUAACUUCCUUUAUUAUUAGAGGAUAAGGUAAAGACCUUGCGAAAUGGCAAUCUAAAAUUAAUUACGUUGAAAGCAACACGCAGAUAUCAACAAUUUGAAGAUUUUACAUUCAAAAGCGAGUGUUUUUUGUCCAAAAAAAUUAUUGGCUUAAUAUCAACAUUAGCUGUACAAUCCUUGCCUUGCUAUUUCUCACAUCCUACUUUUACUUUCUCAGAAAAAAGAAAAGAAAGAAAGAGUACGCAAUGAGAGAUAAUGACAGAAGGAUAUAGGUUGAGUAGAAAUGCAUUUCCGCACCGGGUUUCAUUUCGAUUAGAGAGACACACGUGAUAGACUGAGUAGACAAGAAGACUUUUGCACCGUAAUGUCCUUUUCGGGUUCUAUAUUGUUGCAAAAGCCCACUACAUGGGACAUUUACUUUUGAAUUAAAAAAUUUGCGACAGGCAAUCUGCAAAGAGCCAUAUUUUCUUGCAUCGUUGAUCGAAGGAAAGUUUCUUCAUUCAUACCUUUGACUAGUGUAUCGCACCUUACAAGUCAUGAUAUUAUAAAUAUUAUCACCACAUAAAAAAAAAUAAACGAGAGCACCAUUCAGAAGUUCAGUUGAAGGAAUUUCCCUGAAACCAGGGUUGGGGAAAAACAUGGGCUAUUUGCAAAUCCGGAUGAAUGAUGCUUGAUGCAACGGUGACGUGAAAUACUUUCACACGUUCCGGUUGUUGAUUUUCCAGUUGGUUAUUCAUAAAAUAAUGGAAACCUGAGUAGACGUUCCUCCGCAGUCACCAUGUCCAAAGUUGAAACAGGUGCAUAAUCAUUCUAGGAGCACAAUACUGUACCCGCUAGUAUUUAUUGAAUUAAAACAUAACCAUGCGUGCUUGCAUAACUUCCUCAUGUCUAAUAUACGUUCUCAUACCCGGAGCUGAAUCCGACGUCUCCAAUAAGAAAAAGAUGGGAAACUCGAGAAAUAGCACUUGCUAUACCGAGCUAAGGGAUAGAAUUUGUUGCCAAUUAAAGUGGGUUUUAUUCAUUCACGUGCAAACAUCAGUGGACAUUUGAGACGACUCGUACUUGAAAUCACCAGAAGAACCAUCUGAAACGCAACAAAGCUGCUCAUGACAGUGGAGAAACCAUUUUAUUCAACCAUUAUUGCAGAAGCUUUUAAGCUUCUACGAGUUAAAUGGCAUACAUUCUCCUACAUUCCCAGCAGGAUGAUGGACCCAACUGAGUCCAUUAUCUAGUUCUUGACAUCUUCGGUUUCUUCUGGAGGGUGACC
rnacentral:lncRNA from 1 species